rnacentral:lncRNA from 1 species
AACAUUUGUUGCUCUUAUUCUGUAGCUGAAGCAUAGAGUGCAUGAGCUCCUUAAUUUGCAGAUGGCUAAGAUAAUAACUAUAGACGACGACAACGACAACAACAACAAACAAGAGAAGUAAAAGGUACAACAUUCUUGGGUUUCAUCAAACUUGUGAAGAAACUUCAUGUUAAAGUAUGAAUGUUGAGAUCUUCACAAGCCUGAGUAUCUCUUUGGCCACACUUCAAAAAGGAAAUUAAGCAAAAGCUUGAUUGAAUGGUCUUCACUACUGCCCUGUAAUUUGAGGGGUCAGAAGCUGAACAUUGAAUCUUCCAUGAAGGUGGUUGUUGGUUUUUUUGAGUGGAGUAUUCUUCUUCUGACCAAUAUUGGACCUUGAAGAAACAAUAUAUGCUUGUUUCUUGGCCCUCAAACUUUCUAGUGUAUCUAACCCUGACAUAAAAUUUGUUGUAACCAUGAUUAUCUCAAAUCCAUUGUUCAGAAAUGAUUUCUUUGCUUUAAGGAUUUAUUGUUAAUCCUUGUGCCAUUGCUUGUCAAUUUCUAGGCAAAAUAGUAUGAAUAUAUAUAUAUAUAUAUAUAUAUAUUAGAUACCAUACAAAUAUGUCAAAUUCAGUUAUGAUUUCACCUAGUAUUCAUGACAUGUAAAUUUAAAAGGAAAAAGGUGAUAGUAGGAUAUUUCAUCUAAUUCCUGCUCUUUUCUUUUGCUAUUGUGCAGUUGAAGUGUUAGUGCUUGAGAAGGGUAAAGACUUAGAUUUUCUGGUACUUGUAUGUUGGCAUAUUUUAUUAUAGAAGAUGGAUGCUAAAGCCUAAACUCUAAAGGGAAUAUAAGCAGAGGGGUAUAGAGGGAAUUUAAGUAUACCUUGGUACUAUUUAGUGGCUUAGUAGAAAUUUAUAAGGUACCCUCUAUCUCUUGAAAGGUUGUAUGACCUGCUUAGUUUGUGUACUAAUUAAGACUCGAGUAUUACACUUUGACAUGUUGUCAACCUUUGUUUACUUUCCAUAUUUCAUGUCUAUUAUCCUGUAAGAUAGGCUUCCAAGUUUAUUUGACAUAUGUAUUGAUAAUCUAUUCUCUUAACUCAAUUAUAUUUUCAACUAUUCUUGAGUUUGAGUAAGUUAAGUAGAAAUCAAUUGGGUUUUAAAGUUGCACAAACUAAUGGGCUAUUUCCAGGAAAAGAACUCCGGUCAAGGUUAUAAAGCAAUAACAUUAUCGUUGUAUUGAUUCUCAUUCUUUAUGUGGGCUCAUAUUUUUGUUUUUUGAUUAGCAAAAAAACAUGUCUUAUCGUUGUAUUGAUUUCUGUUGGUUACAAAUUUAGCCACUAUUACUCUCAAGAGGCCACAAAAUUUGACACAAUUUAACAAUUAGGCAAACACAUAAAAGUAUUAUAAAGGGAUAUUAUUGAUUAGAGCAAAAAAUAUCACAUACAUGCAAUGUACAUGAGAGGGGUACAAAACCACUAUAAUACAAAUGAAAUAAUAGUGAUAAGUUGCAAUAAAAUCAUCUCCCAUGUGAUUAUUAGAAGUUCUGGCAAAAAUUAAAAAGUAACAAGAUGCCUGAUACCAAUUGGGUUUCAAAUGUUUGGAAUGGGUGCUUCAUAAGCACUUAAUGCUAACUUGGUGUAACUUUAGUAUGAUAAUAUGCAUCAUAAAAUGGGGAUGAGAAUCAUCUCCAAUACUAGAGAGACAAGUUGUUAUUUUUUCACUUAUAUUGAAGACAAUUUGUUAUAUCAUUGUAUCUAAAGGUAAAAAUAUCUUAUUCUUCUAUUUUACUGUGUUAUUUUUGGUGUACUUGCAUCUCCAAAAGAGGAUCCAUAAUGCAAUGAGUUGUUGCAACUUUUUAGUUGGAUAAUAUGCAUCAUAAAAUAAGAUUUGGAUCCUCUCAAAUACUCAUUUCAAUAUUGGGCCAGAUUAUAACAUGUGGCAUUAACGUCUCAUUUUUUAUUAUUUGGUUCCAAAAUAGGCUUGCACAGCCCACUCAUCCCCACAAUGCAGCAUGUAAUCAAAUCAAUAACUCCCCCGGCACCUGAAAUUCAUGUAUAUCUAUACUAUUAAUAAAGGGAAAACACAAAAUAACCACCCAUCAUGGUGUAAUUUGUGUUUUCCUAUUUUGCCAUCAAUAUCUUUUUAUUUCUACCAAAAAAUCAUAUAAUAUUAUUUUCUUAUUUUAUCUUUAUUAUCUUCUUAUUUUAAAAGUGUAUUUAAAAAAUUGAUUAUUAGACCAAUUGAAUAAAUUCAACCGUAAAUUUAGCGCAAAAAAUUAUAUUUGAAUUUAUAAAAUACAAACUAUACAUUACAAACGAUAGGAAAGCGGGUUAACAAGCACGACAGUGCAUAUCAACGCGCUAGUAAAUAUAAAGUGGCACCAACCAAAGCCAAGAAAAUAUUUAAUCUAAAAAUCUAUAGAAGGGAGAAAUUUUUUACCUGAUAACUGAGGGUUUUCGGAAUCAAUCAAAGCACUGUUUAUAAAGAUAAAUUUGGCAUCAGAUUGUUAAGUCCUUGUUGAGUCCAUCAACUACAUCUCUAACCCAUUCCCUCACCAACAGGUAUUGAAACCUUUUCCCAUGAAUAGUAAUUUCAGAACACAGACUAGCAUACCCAACCCAAACAAAACAAUCUUUCUUGCUCUAAUGUCAUAUACAACUCCUGAACAAAACAAAAAAGUUUGAUUUUCACAAAGUAAAGUCCUGCAGGUAUAUUAUGUUGCAUUAAAAUAUGAGACUCCAUAAAAAAUCAUAGAGAUAAUAUUAUAAUCACAUAUUUUUGCUUCACGUGCAUUAUUGUGAAAAAGCUACUUAAACCAUUGCCCCUUCAUAGUGCUUACUUGAGCCAUGACAAUGGGAGGAAAAAGUUUUAAUUUACUUUGAUCACCUUAAAACUCUAUCUCAAAACCAAUCGAUAAUAAGUGAAAUAAUACAAUAUGUAUUUAAAUCAUUUCCAAAACAAUUAGAGCUAUUUUCCUUACUUUGUUGGUGGAUUCUUUAGCUAUUUGAUUUAGUAUAGGUGAUUACUUUGUCUUAUUUAACACAUUUUGAUCAUUUUUAUAUAAAAAUAUAAAAUAUCAUCUAUCAUCAUAUUCAUAUGUUGCAACUAGUGAAUGAUCUCCUAAAACAAAGAAAUGAUAUAGCACAUUAUACGUAGAAAAUAUCAAUGAAAUAAAAAAAAAAAUUAGGAGCUUAAAGCUUAUGGGUAAUAAAUAAGCUAUUGAUUUCCUUGAAAAUAUAUUUGAUAAAGAUAUUAGUUGAUCAAAUACUUAAUAAUUAUAAAUGACUUAAAAGAUAAAAAAUUUAAAACACCUUUAUGGGAGUUCCUAUUAAACAUAUUGUAGGUUUUUGGCUUCAGCCAUCAAUUCACUAACUGGAUAAGAGUAAUUUUUAACUCUACUAGACUCUCUUUCAUUGUAAAUGACCAAACAUUGGGUUUCGUCAACUGCAGCAAAGGUGUGAGACAAGGAGACCCUUUAUCUCCCUUACUUUUUUGUCUGGUUGAGGAUGUCUUAAGUAGAGGCAUUUUGAGGUUAAUUAAGAAUAGGAUGUUUAGUUAUAUUACUGGUCCACACAUGAUCCAUACCCUUAGUCAUGUCAUGUAUGCAGAUGACAUUCUCAUCUUCUGCAAGGGUUUAAAAAGGGAACUGAUGGCUUUAAAGAACUUCAUAUAUGAUUAUGCUCAGGCCUCUCGCCAAAUCAUAAAUGCAGAGAAAUGCGAAUUCUAUAUUAGCAAUGCUCCUCCUUGGAAAAUUGCCAGGCUCUCCACCUAUCUGGGCUUCUCUCAAGGCUGCUUCCCCUUCAACUAUUUAGGUGUUUCUCUCUUUAAAGGGAAGCCUAAAAGGGUUCCUUCAACCAGUUGCAAACAUGAUAGUAAUGAAAAUGGUUGCUUGGAAGGGUUCUACUUUAUUAAUAAUGGGUAGAGUUGAAUUGGUCAGAUCUAUUAUUCAAAGCAUGUUGAUUUAUAGCUUCCACAUUUAUAAAUGGUCCUCAAAAUUGAUCAAAAGUCUGGAUAGCAAAAUCAGAAACUUCAUUUGGGUUGGAAACACAUAUGUUAGGAAGAUUGUUACUGUUGCUUGAAGACAAGUUUGCUCCCCUAUUCUUGAAGGAAGGUUUGGGCUAAGAUCUCUCUCAAUGAUGAACAAAGUUGCUCUUCUAAAGCAGUAAUGCUGUCUUGGGAGAUGAUCUCCUCAAACCAUGAUUGGGCUAUUUUUUGCAGGACCAGAUUUCACUACAAUAGUUCUACCACUCCUAAAUACUUUAAAUCCUCUAUCUGGCAUGGUAUCAAAGACAACUAGGAUUUAGCUAUGUUGAAUUCCUUCUGGCUGGUAGGUGAUGGUCAAAGCAUUAAUUUCUGGAAGGAUAAUUGGCUUGGUGAACCUCUUGUGGACUCUUUGGAGAUCCCUCAACAAACUCAAUUGUCCUUCAAAACAACUGUGGCAGACUUCAUCCAUGACUCACAAUGGCUAAUUCCUAGUAGCCUAAUCACACGAUACCCUGAAAUUACCUCUAAAAUCAAAUAGGUCAUUAUUGUUAAUACUAAAGAUAAGAUCAUUUGGCAAGACACUGAUGAUAGAACCUUGUCCCCCAAGGCAGUCUACUCCUACGUGAACAAUUAAGCAUCCUUGUUAAACUGGUGCAAAACAAUAUGGUCUAAUGCUAUCCCCCUUCUAAAUCUUUCACAACUUGGAGGUUGAUCAACAGGAAAAUGCUUAUAGAUAAAAACCUUCAAAAAAGAGGUUGUCAAUUAUGUUCAAUUUGCAACCUAUGCCAAAUUGACUCUAGAGGCUCUAAACAUUUGUUUCUGACUUGCCCUUUUGUAGUCUACCUUUGGAAGUGGUUAGGAUCCCAAUUCUCAAUCAAUUUGAACACAUCAUCUGCAUAUUCUCUAUUCCUAAGCUACAACAACCUCUGGAGUACUCAGUUGAGAGAGGUGCUUAAUGUUGGCAUUAUCCACAUUAUUUGUACCAUCUGGAAUUGUAGGAAUUAGACUAGAUUUGAGAAUAGAAAAUUGUCUUGAGUCAAGCUAUUAGAAAGAUAAAAAGAGAAGUUGCUAUAACUGGUAAUCACUUGAAAGAGGUUGGAAACUCUUCCCUACAUGAAUUCUACACCCUUAGAGCUCUAAAAAUCAGAAACAACAUCAACAAAGCCCCUAGCAUUUCAGAGAUUAUCUGGCAGCAUCCUCCUUCUGGUUGGGUAAAAGUGAAUACUGAUGGUGCGGCUCAGGACACUUUGGGGACAUCAUGGGGUGGUGGAUUAUUCAGAGAUUCUAUUGGUAAUUUUUUAAGGGAGGUAUGCUUCUUUCCUUGGAGUUCAAAUGGCUAUCUUUGCUAAGUUCAAUUCACCCUUAACUGCACUGAACAUAUCCUUCAGCGAAGGCUGGAAUACCUUGUGGUUGUAAUGUCACUCGUCCCUGGUGGUGGAUAUUGUCAAUGACAAAGUCAAUGCUCCAUGGCCUUUGUUGAACAAGUGGUUAAAUUUCAAGCUCAAGAUUUCAGUGAUGAACAAGAUAUCUCAAAUAUAUAGAGAAAGAAAUACUUGCGCCAACAUUCUAGUUAAGCAUGACAUAAAUCAUAGAUCUAAUUUAUGGUGGAAUGUUUUUCCUAACUUUCUAAAUUUAGAAUUUGGUAGGAAUAAGUUAGGCCUACCUAACUACAGAUUUAGAAACUUAUAAUCAUGUCUUCUCCAUGUACUCGACUUUCUAUUAUAAUAUAUUUCCUUAGGUGGUUAUGCACCUUCGGUUAAUAAAAAAAACACUGCCAUAUUUUUUUAACAAAUAAGCUCAUUGAGUGCCUCUUAAGUGUAUUGUUAAACACCCUAUCAAUAUCUUAUGUGAAGAAGAAAACUCAAUUACUUUGAAUCGGGAAAUUCAAUGCAACUUUGGGUGGUAUAGGUCGGUAGAUGAAAAUCUCUUCAAUUCAUGUUUUGGUUAUUGAUAAGUGCCAAAAGUAUACACUUUUCACCAUCAUUUUAUGGCACUUAUCCUAUACAAAUUGUAGAAAACCAACUUAAACUAACACUUUUUAGGUGAAUUUUGCAUGGUUAAAUAAAUUGGUUCUUUAUUAAUUCUUGUCCAAGUUUUCUUUGAGUUUUGUAGGAAAUUGAAUAUUGUUGAAAGGCUUUUUCGGUGUUAUUUUAUUUUAGUUUAGAGUUUUCUCCUCUCAACAAAUCGUCCUGACAGCAGUGUCAAUUUGUUGAAAGGUUAAUACUCUCAUUUUCAUUAUGUUCCUUUUGUAAGUAAGAGAACUCAAUUUUAUUCUUUGUUCGUCAUCUCGGCUUUGUUGAAAUAAAUUCCAACGCCGGUAUAAUGGUUUCAAGAAUAUUCCAGUUACAACUUACUUUCUUAAUAAUCAUGUGAAUAAGUCAUUCCUUUUUUGCCCCAUCUCGGCUUUGUUAGAAUAAAUUCUAACGCCGGUAUUAUGGUAUCGAAGCAAUUACCUAUUACAUAAUUAUUUAAGUACCUUUGAAUACCAUCUCGAUUUUGUGGAAUAAAUUCCAACAUCGGUUUAAUGGUAUUCUAAUAUAUAAAAGUGAUGAAUAGUUAGUUGNNNNNNNNNNNNNNNNNNNNNNNNNNNNNNNNNNNNNNNNNNNNNNNNNNNNNNNNNNNNNNNNNNNNNNNNNNNNNNNNNNNNNNNNNNNNNNNNNNNNAAUUUACAUCUCUUUCAAGAUUCAAUUGUAGUAUAGUAUAGGGUUAUGUCGAACCACAAGGAAUUGCCUAAUAAAAUAAAUCAUGUAAACAUGUCAAAGCAAAAAUAAUGGUUUAAACAUAUUUUGAUGGUUUUUCGGUUUUAUUUGCACAUAAAUAAAUCAACAAGAAAAAUAAACUAAGUAUUCACAAAUUCUUGAGGAGUCAAAAUCUUUUGGAAUAAGAAAACAUAUUUCUCAUCUUCUUUUUGAGUUUGAACUACUUAGACAAGUUCUUAUAUUUUACUUUGGUUAACCCCAAACACCAAGGUCUGAAAUCCUCCGUUUAGUGUAUAUCCUAAAAUGGUAGAAUCAUAAACACUUAUAUUCAUCACUUAANNNNNNNNNNNNNNNNNNNNNNNNNNNNNNNNNNNNNNNNNNNNNNNNNNNNNNNNNNNNNNNNNNNNNNNNNNNNNNNNNNNNNNNNNNNNNNNNNNNNGUAGAAAUUACAUAACCUUGUUCAAAAGAAAAUGUUUAGGAGCAUGAGCUAUCCAUCCAAGGAUUGGAUGCUUUUGAGUUCCAAAUGAGAGUACAAAAUUGAUUUUUGCAUCUCAUUUGCCUUCUCAUUUUCUCCUCUUUAAUUCUAAACUACAAAUUACAAAACUUACUUGAAAAUGAAAACUCUAAUCUAAGAAAGAAUUCCUAAAUGAGAGAAUUCUGGCCUUCAAGUAUUUUUGAGAGAAUUUUAUGAAAAAAUAGUGUGUUAUCUUCUCUUUUGAUCGAAGGAAAUAGCCUCUAUUUAUAGACUCCAUUCCAGCCUGUUGAGCUGCUGAGCUGGACCGCUCAGCAGCUGACCAAACUCUUCAGCAUGGGUUUGGUCCCUUGACCAAGUANNNNNNNNNNNNNNNNNNNNNNNNNNNNNNNNNNNNNNNNNNNNNNNNNNNNNNNNNNNNNNNNNNNNNNNNNNNNNNNNNNNNNNNNNNNNNNNNNNNNUGAGCAGCUUGGUUUGACCGCUGAGCAGCUUGUUCAGCAGCUUGGCUUGUGCCAAGCUCGUGUCUGACCGUGUCAAGCAUAUUUCUGACCGUGCCUGGCCUAGUCUGGUGUUAGGCUGACUGGCUAAGCAGGUCCGCUCAACUACCUGGUUGAGCAGUUUGGUCCAGGUCAGGCAGGUGGUCAGGUCAGCUCAGCGGGGCUUGUUCAGUUCUCAGCUGCCUGGUUGAGCACCUUGAUUUUCUUGACUUUUGUUGCUUUUGACCAUGAAUCUUUUCUUUUCUUUUAUUCAUUUUAUUUCCUACAAAAUCCAUAAAAAGGCAAUACAAACACAAAUAUACCAAAUUGUGAUAUUUUAUACAAAAAGUAUUGUUUUAAGUUGGUUUUUCUCAAUUAUGCUUAAGAUAAGUGCCAUAGAAGUGUAUAAUAUUAGGUAUGUUUGGUACUUAUCAAAUAUUAAAGAAUAAAUUCAAAGAUGGAUAAGAAUUCAAGCCAAAAUUCAAGACAAAAGCUCAAAAUGAAUUGCUAAAAGUAAUCAAGUUAAAGCAUGGCAUGCUAUGUGCUUAAUUUGGUUACUUAGCCUUGAAGAAAGGUACCUUACUUCGUCUUGAAGAAACCUAUGUUAAGGUAGGCCAANNNNNNNNNNNNNNNNNNNNNNNNNNNNNNNNNNNNNNNNNNNNNNNNNNNNNNNNNNNNNNNNNNNNNNNNNNNNNNNNNNNNNNNNNNNNNNNNNNNNCAUGAAGAAAUCAAGCACAAAGCUGUCCAUCCAAGACAAGCACCAAGCCAGGUCAGCCAGGCACUAAGCACCAGGCCAGGUCAGCCAGGCACCAAGCACCAGGCCAGGUCACUCAGGCACCAAGCACCAGGCUAGGUCACCCAGGCACCAAGCACCAAGCCAGGUCACCCAGGCACCAAGCACCAGGCCAGGCCAACUAAGCUGCUGAAACAGGCAGCUGAGCGUGGAACCAGUCAGCUGAGCGGCUGAAACAUACAGCUGAGCGGGGAACUAGGUCAGCCAAGCUGCUGAAACAGGCAGCUUAGCGGGGAAAUAGGUGGGCUAAGCGGCUGGCGCAUCAGAAAAGUGAGUUUUUGGUUAAAUCAUGGAACAUCUUACUUUUUCUUUGCAUAAAGACCAAGAACAUGACCUCAUGGAUGACAUAAGGCUAUGACAAGAAGGAGGACAUGUCACCAUGCAUGUAACCUAGCGCACCAUAGGGGUCAAGUAGGGGCCAAAGUGGCUCUNNNNNNNNNNNNNNNNNNNNNNNNNNNNNNNNNNNNNNNNNNNNNNNNNNNNNNNNNNNNNNNNNNNNNNNNNNNNNNNNNNNNNNNNNNNNNNNNNNNNAUUUAUUUGUUGAAAACACCUUUUAAUAUACAAAAGUGAUGAACUAACUUACUAACUUUUAUUUAUUGUUAUUUACUUUCCGCAUUUUAUUUAUUCUUUAAUACCAACCUUCAUUAAGGAAGAAGUUUGGUUUGUUAAAUAAAAUGAACACGAAAGGAAAUGGAGUAAAUAAAUAAAGGUCACUAAAUUUAUUAUUCUUUUGUUCUUUAUUUAUUUAUUUGUAUCUAACAACUAGCUAUUCAUCGUUUUUAUAUAUUAGAAUAUCAAUAAACCAGUGUUGGAAUUUAUUCCAGAAAACCAAGAUGAUAUUCAAAGGUACUUAAUAAUUAUGUAAUAUGUAAUUGUUUCGAUAUCAUUAUACAGGCGUUAGAAUUUAUUCUAACAAAGCCGAUAUGGGGCAAAGAAUGAAUGACUUAUUCACAUGAUUAUUAAGAAAGUAAGUUGUAACUGGAAUAUUCUUGAAAUCAUUAUACCGGCGUUAGAAUUUAUUUCAACAAAGCCGAGAUGGCGAACAAAUAAUAAAACUGAGUUCUCUUACUUACAAAAGGAACAUAACAAAAAUGAGCAUAUUAAUCUUUCAACUAAUUGACACUGUUGUCAGGACGAUUUGUUGUGAGGAGAAAACUCACAACUAAAAUAAACACUGAAAAACGUUUUCAACAAAUUGGCGUUGUUGUCAGGGAAUUGCUUUAAUAAUAGAACAUUUCAUAUUUAUAUGUCAUUCAUCAAAUAAUUAUGCAUAACAUUUUCUUUCUCUUUUGUAUAAAUUUAUUUUUCUUUUUGCACAUCUUUAUUUUUAUGUUUUGUACAUUUGAAAAAAUUAAAAACUCAAAAAAAAAUGAUUUAGUGGAAUGAAAACUCACUAGUUAAGAAACAUUUUAUUGUUGUUAUAAAAUUUUGAGGAGAUGUGGAGGUACCCCUCAUCGACGUUUGCAAAAGACAACAUAAAAGGAAUUGAAAUAAAUAAGGAUUAGUGGCUGGACUUUUUUCUUCAAGAAGGGAAGCCACUUGAAACCUUAAAGGUUAAGUAUUCACCAUGUACUUUUUGGUGAUAAAACUUUAUCUAGUGAUACUUUAACCAAACAUAUCGAUCAACAUGCCUUAGUAAAUGAUUUUGAAAUUGUCAAAUUAAUUUUUAAAAAACUAAGAGCAUGCUUGUUACUUUUGUGCCAAAAUUGAAUUUUUCCAAACUUUAGAACUCCUUUAACAAAAUAAAUUCAUGAAAUUCUGAAUGGAUUUAUUUAUGGAUAUUUAGUGUGAUAAAAUGUGUUUUGAAGUUCCAUAAAUUUUGUUUGGACUUCCAUUUUAUCACUUGGAUUUGAAAUAUGAAUGAAUUUUUUUUCUAAACAUCAAUUUUCAUGGAAAAACAUGAUGUUUGGUUGGAAUUCUUUCAAUCAAAUUUAAUUCAUGAACGUAGUGUCUUAGGAAAUUAUAAAUUCAUGUCAAUUGUUAGACUAACAUCAAAGAAAAAGAAAAUUGCAAGUUCGAAAUGAUUUACAGGAAAACAAGUCCAAACAAACAAACAAAAAUGAGGAGUUGAUGACACCACUAUCUAGGAGAGGAUAGUGAAAAUAAGGAGAAUGAAAUUCUGUGUUCUCCUAAAAAUUGUGGUUAGUUUUAAUUUUCUUUUUCAUUCUUUCAAAAUAUUAUACAAACUUCCUAAAAAUAUUUUUUUGACUUGAGAACAAGUCAAGUACUUAAGUUGGGGGGAGUGUGUAUAACAUUUUGAAAGAAUAAAAUUUUUACUAUAUUUUAAACUUUUCUCUUGUUUCUACUUUAUUUUAAUUUUUUUAGUGUGUUUAUUUUUAUUUUUAGUGCGUUUACUUGUUAAAAUUAUUAUUUUUAGUGUGUUUAUUUUUUCUUUUUGAAGAUUUAUUUAAAAAGUGAAUUUUUUUUAAACUACACACAGUAAAUAAACACAUAAUUGGCUUAAACAUUUUUUAAGAUCAAUGACUUUGUAAAUUACAAGCUUUGAUGAGCAACAUGAGAUGAAAAUUUUGUGAAUAAUUCAUAAUGUUAUAACUUGGAUAAAAUGCAAACUUUUUGGAAAAUCAUUUAUCAUGACCUUGUGAAUUUGUUAAAAAUCAAAGAGUUGUACAUAAACCAACCUUGUGAGGAAGUGUAAGCCAAACACAAUAAUUAUGUGAGCUUAGUGAGAAACUUUUUGGUUUUGCACAAUUAAUUUUGUUUGAAUCUUUCUUUACUUGGUUGCACACAAUUUGAUAGGAUAUGAUCAAGGCAAGUUCUUUCAAUUAAAUGAGUCACUUGACCAAAAAUGACCAACCAAAAAUAGGAAUAUCCUUUGUUAACCCCUUUGAGCCUNNNNNNNNNNNNNNNNNNNNNNNNNNNNNNNNNNNNNNNNNNNNNNNNNNNNNNNNNNNNNNNNNNNNNNNNNNNNNNNNNNNNNNNNNNNNNNNNNNNNUUUGUGCAAUCAAAGUAAGUGUUGAGAUGAAAAACAAAAUUAAAUUCUUGCAAAUCAAAGAAGUUGAGUUUUGAGUAAAACACUUACCUUAUUUGGUUCCAUUCUUGAACCGUGUGUGAAAUGCAUCUCUUUGAUUGAUAACAUUUUUAAUAAGUGAAUUACUAAAUGAGUUUUUGAAAAGAUGUGUUCAAUUCUUAGUUUGAAGCAUUAUGAGUCAAAGUCACAUAAUCAUAAACNNNNNNNNNNNNNNNNNNNNNNNNNNNNNNNNNNNNNNNNNNNNNNNNNNNNNNNNNNNNNNNNNNNNNNNNNNNNNNNNNNNNNNNNNNNNNNNNNNNNGUCCAACCAAGCCAAGCACCAAGCACCAGGCCAGGUCAGCCAGGCACCAAGCACCAGGUCAGGUCAGCCAGGCACUAAGCACCAGGCCAGGUCAGCCAGGCACCAAGCACCAGGUCAGGUCAGCCAGGCACUAAGCACCAGGCCAGGUCAGCCAGGCACCAAGCAUCAGGCCAGGUCAGACAGGCACCAAGCACCAGGCCAGGUCAGCAGGCACCAAGCAUCAGGCCAGGCCAGCUAAGCUGCUGAAACAGGCAACUGAGUGUGGAACCAGUCAGCUGAGCGGCUAAAACAUGUAGCUGAGCGGGGAACCAGGUCAGGCAAGCUACUGAAACAGGCAGCUUAGCGGGGAAACAUGUGGGCUAAGCGGCUGGCGCACCAAAAAAGUGAUUUUUUGGUCAAAUCAUGGAUCAUCUUACUUUUUCUUUACUUAAAGGCAAAGAACACGACCUCAUGGAUGACAUAAGGCUAUGACAAGAAGGAGGAGAUGUCACCAUGCAUGUAACCUAGCCCACCAUAGGGGUCAAGUAGGGGCCAAAGUGGCUCUUCAUAGGGGCCAAAGGUGAGCAACUUAGCAACAAAACAAGGCAGUUGAGCAUCCAACACCUUGGCCUAUAAAAAGGCGCGAAAUUCUCAUUUGUAAAACAUUGUACAUUCNNNNNNNNNNNNNNNNNNNNNNNNNNNNNNNNNNNNNNNNNNNNNNNNNNNNNNNNNNNNNNNNNNNNNNNNNNNNNNNNNNNNNNNNNNNNNNNNNNNNUAUACUAUACUAGAAUUGAAUCUUGAAAGAGGUGUAAAUUGUAAAAUAGUAAAUUGUUAUCAAUAAAUUUAUUUGUUGAAAACACCUUUUAAUAUACAAAAGUGAUGAAACUAACUUACUAACUUUUAUUUAUUGUUAUUUACUUUCCGCAUUUUAUUUAUUCUUUAAUACCAACAUUCAUUAAGGAAGAAGUUUGGUUUGUUAAAUAAAAUGAACACGAAAGGAAAUGGAGUAAAUAAAUAAAGGUCACUAAAUUUAUUAUUCUUUUGUUCUUUAUUUAUUUAUUUGUAUCUAACAACUAGCUAUUCAUCGUUUUUAUAUAUUAGAAUAUCAAUAAACCAGUGUUGGAAUUUAUUCCAGAAAACCAAGAUGAUAUUCAAAGGUAUUUAAUAAUUAUGUAAUAUGUAAUUGUUUCGAUAUCAUUAUACAGGCGUUAGAAUUUAUUCGAACAAAGCCGAGAUGGGCAAAGAAGGAAUGACUUAUUCACAUGAUUAUUAAGAAAGUAAGUUGUAACUAAAAUAUUCUUGAAACGGAAUUUAUUUCAACAAAGCCGAGAUGGCGAACAAAGAAUAAAACCGAGUUCUCUUACUUACAAAAAGAACAUAACGAAAAUGAGCAAAUUAAUCUUUCAACAAACUGAUACAACUGUCAGGACGAUUUGUGGAGAGAAGAAAACUCACAACUAAAAUAAACACCAAAAAACGUUUUCAAUUUAAGAUAUCAAAAUCUAAGUCAUUUAAGACAUUAAGACAUCUGAUUUUUAUUGAACGGGACAAGUCAAAUUAAUUUAUGUUGGAAAUUGUUUGGUUGCUUUAAAAUUCAAAUAAAUUUUUUAGUAUCUAUUAUUGAAAUAAUGGAGAGACAUGGACUCAAAUUCAUUCUUUCAAGAAAAAGUUUAUUUCAUAUCUGUUUUCUUCUUAUACUUAUUAGAGAUUAUUAUGAGGUUUAAAUUUAGAUAUUGCAAAACUUAAGAGGAUGUGAGAGAGUAAUCUAUGUAUGUGUUGUAAUAAUUUUCCCAUUAAAUUAUAUUCUGGUUGCUUUAGGCAACAAUAAUCAUGAUUAGUUUUUUUUUUUUUUGGAUUUCGGAUUUUUUUGUUACUCUUGGGGUUGAAAAUGUUAUAUUUUCAUAUUUUAUUUUUCUGUUUCUUGACAACAGAAUCCAUUCCCUAUGAAGAGUGACAUUAUUUGACCCAAUUAGCCAAAAAAAUUGGUCCAAACAAAAAACUAACCCUUACAAAAUUAUAUUAAUAACUUAUCAUCAUUGACCAUCAUACUUAACCAACAUGUAGAUGUGACUCUCAACAUUAAUAAUCAAUAUUGCAACCUUUCAAAACUUUAAGACAAAUUACACCUGCACUUAUGAUUCACUCUUGAACCUUAACAUAUGGAUAUGUAACAAAGUAAGAAAAUUAAGAACUCUUUUAUGGCUUAAAAGAAACAACACAUUCCAAGAACAUUAAUUGUAACACAUCUUAUGUCACUAUAGCUAGCUUGGUCAACACUCAUAUCUGAGCUAAGCGGCGGAUAUUAAUAGGAUAAGCAUCAUCUAUAGAAUCAGAGUUAUAAGCUCUUUGAGCAACAACAACAUUGCCAGCUUCAGUUGGAUGAAAUGCAUCCCAAAACAAAUAUUCUCUCCUAUUUGAGCAUGGAGUUUGCAAUGGUAAACAUGUAAUUUGACCAUUGUUCCUUCCAACUCCACAGCACCCAGAAUUUGUAUUGCUGAAACCUGAUAAUUAGCAUUAAAUCAAUGAGUAUAUAAUGUAUAAACUUUGUCCAAAUUUUGGUUGUUAUGGACUAGAAAAUGUUUUAGAUAGAAAACAAAGAAUUAAUUACCAUAGACUGUAGGGUUACUUAUAAUAUCUUGGAAGAUACCAUAAGAGUUUAUGUAGAUGAAUCUUGCAUCAGGCAACUGGUUGUUAAGUUGAUCAACAAGAGAUUUCAAUUUGCUGUUGAAUAUUUGGUUUGCUACAUUGAUUGUUUCCACACAUGUGCUACCAUCUGGGCUGUUUUGGGCUAAUUCAUUAGGGCUGCAACCUAUUUGACCAACCCCAAAUAGCACCAUUUUCCUUGCCCCAUAGUUAUACAAAGUCUGAAUCACAAACAUAAACAGUUAAGCUUUUAAUUUCUAAGGCUCAUAUUAUUAGGACAUGUGACCAGCUAGCUAAAACUUCAAAUUGUUAAUCAUUUAUUGUUUUCCUUCAAUCCUAAAUUUUAAGUUGGAAAUGGUUAGUUAAUGCCAUGCAUAUUAUGAGAUUAUAAUUAACUAAUUGGAGGUGAUAAAAAGGGGGAAAAAUAAAGAGAAGGAGAGGUAGACACUAACUUGAAGUUGUUCAGUAUAAUCUUGAAGAAGAACAUCAGCAUACUCAUCUGUUGUGUAUUGCCUGCUGCUGGAAUAGAAUUGAGGCAUAAAAUAGUUGUUAAGGUAAUCAUUGCUACCCAAUCCAAUCGAAUAAAUACACUUGCUCAAGUAAUUUGCAGCUUGGUCCUCAGUUCCCAAUAUAUUUACAAAUUGGGACACUGUGUUUUGGUAAUUUUGCACCUGCCCUCUAAAAGAAAUGCGCCCUCCCUACAAAAACAGGUAAAAAAAUUAAACACAUAAUCAAACUCUUUACAAAUUAAGGUAGUGCUUGGCAUAAUCAGGAUGCAACAUUUCUUCUCUUUAUCUUAUAUUGAUUGGAUGAGACAUCCAUCAACUUGUCUUUCUCUUUGUUAAUUUCAGAGAUUAAGUAGAUAGGAGUACCACUCGUUCUCCUACUAUUUUAUCUCUUGAUUAAUAAAGUUUUUAUUGCUGAUAAAAAAAAAGGUUCUCUUUUGUUUUGAGUAAAAUUAAAAUGUUCUAGUUUUUAAUCCUAUAUCAUGUUCAAACACAUAACAGAACCUAAACAUAAGGGAGUCAUAAGGUGACAGUGAGGGUAAAAGUGAAAGAUUGAAGUAAAGGGUUAAGUCUUACCCACAACAAAUACUAACGUGUUAACAUUUGCUGAUAAAAGAAAAACCUAGACAUAAUAUGUUAUGUUCGAUCUUGUAAUAAAGUGUCUAAUAAACUUUAUAAAAGGAAAAAAUAUAUAUAUAUAAUGUACCAGUUGCUGUCCAGUUUCCUCUCUUAUUCCAGCAGCAGCAGAUGCAUAAUUAACUCCUCUUAGUAUGUCUUCAUCACUAGCUGAUGCAUAUGGGGGCAUGUAGUCAUCAAACCCCAAAAGUUCAGCUGUUCAAUUUCAACACAGACAGUUAAUUACACAAUAAGGGUUAAAUUAAGUUUUCAUGUACUUAAAUUAAAAGCUAUGCUUGAAUUAUUUUUAUGUGCCAUAAUAACUCUCCUAUUUUUCUCAACCUCUUGUUUGUUGCUUUUACUAGAUCAGUACUUCUAUAGUUCUGGUAAAAAAGGACAGGCAGUAAAUUUUUCCAGUUCUGGUGCACUUUCCUUUUUUUACGUACAUUUCUACCUCUUAGUUAAAGAUCUACCAGAAUGUCUUAAAUUGCACAUUGAAUGCCGCCAAACUGAGCCAUGUGUUGGAAUUCAAUUACUCUCUGAAUUUAGCAGAAUAGUUGUGAUCCUAUAGAAAUAUGCAUGCAUAUAUUUAGAUGUUUUUUAUUUACUUACCUUACCUAUCAGAUAAGUUGAAAAUGUGCGACCAACAAAAAAAAAGAGUUAUGUUAGAACACAGUUUUCAACCUACUCUUCAUUAUUAGAGGAAGUUGAUGUAGGACUUCAACAGUGUGAUUUAGCUAAUGCCAUAUAAAAUCCAUCAGUAACCAAGAGUGUGUUACAAAAAGUGUUCAAAGAAUGUUUUGUUAACCUUUCUCAAAAAGUAAUAUUGUUUUAUAUGCUAAAGUUAUUAGUAAGAGAUCUACUUCCGAGUUAAGGGUGCAAAAGUGUAUUCUAAAAAUUAAUAAAGCAUUUUGUUAUAUUGAGAGUGGGAUCAUGUGAUUAAUGGAACAAAAGUGUGAAUUACUAAAUAAAAAUUAAAACAAUGCAUGUUAGUAUAUUGAAAUCACAAAACACAUGUAACACACACUUGCAAGGAGUAAUUCUAUAAUCAGUUACCUUCAAGGAACUUAUGAUCAAUUAGCAAAACUCAAAAUCCCAAUUGUGAGAGUUACAAUAGAUGAAAAGAUCUAAGAGCAUAUGACUAUGUUAAUGCCAUUAACUCAUCACUACGAUUCUGACAAAGAUGAUGAUUCCAGGUACAUGCAUGCAUGUGAAACUAGUUUAAAGCAAGGAUGUAAGAACAUAGAAGUGUGUAGCAAAUGUGUUAUGUGGUUUUGUUAACAUCAUAGUUGACUUACAUAUUCUGCUGAAAAGUGUAAUAAUGCAUGCAAUUGAUAUAAUGCUAAUUAAUAAAGAUAGUGACUGAAAGGUAAGUAAGGUCACCAAUUGCAUCAACAGUAGUUUUUCCAUUACAAAACCUUCCACUUGGUCCAUUAGGGAAAUCAAUCCCAUAAGGAAGGUAAUCAGCUCUAGCCAAAGAUUGUAGCUGGUUGUUGUUCCCAUUAUCAACCAAUGAAUCACCAAAAAUAAAGUAGCAAGGUACUUGUGGUGCAGCGCCAACACUUCCACUCCACAAGACAAGAACCACAAGAACUGCUACAAUGCUCAUAACCCAUUUUCUCAUGAGAUCCAAAGCUGCUUCCAUUGAAUCAAGAAAGGAGAAUGAAGAGAGUGUUUGAGAGUGAAGUUGAGUAGGUUGGAGAGUGAGUACAAGUAUAUAUAUUUUGAAGAAAGAGAAGAUGGGCCAUGCUGCUUUUAUGUUAUUUUUUUUUACAGUUGGGAGGGUUUGUUGAGUGCAUUAAAUUUACGCGGAUAUCAAAUGUGAGAGAGAUUGAAUUACCCACCACCCUACCACUGUUGUGAUCUGAUUUUAACAAAUGAUAAAUGAUAAAUGAUCUAUAUAAAUCUUCAUAUUUAUAGUUUAUAUAAAUAUUAGACUCUAAAUAUUAUUUAUUAUCUUUCUUCUAACAUUACAUGCCUAGAGGAAAUAAAAAAUGUAGUAUAUUUAAUUUUUCCACUACGCCAGAAUUGGUAUUUAACAACGCUCAUUUAACAGCGCUUAUAUGUUAAACGUUGUUAAAUGUAAGGCGGAAGAGAAUUAACAACGCUUAUUUAAGCAAACGUUAUUAAAGGUGUUAUCUUUAACAGCGCGUUUAUUGAAGAAAGCGUUGGUAAAGAUCAUACUUCAUAUAUUUAACAACACUUCUUCAAUAAGCGAUAUUAGAUGUGUUAUCUUUAACAACAUUUAUUAAAGAAAACGUUGUUAAAAGUAUUAUAUUUAACAAUGCUUAUUAAAGUAAAUGUUGUUAAAGGUGAUACUUCAUAUAUUUAACAGCACUUCUUCGAUAAACGAGGUUAAAGGUGUUAUCUUUAACAAUACUUCUUCAAUAAGCAUUGUUAAAGCUUCAUAUAUUUAACAACAUUUCUUCAAUAAGCGCGGUUAAACACUUGUUUUAGUGAGCGGGAAUCUUUUCAAAUUCAAAAAACAAAACCUCACACAAUAAUACAUAUCACUCGAUUUAUUAUUUCUUUUAUCUUUCUUCUUCUCCAUAAGUUACAUUUAUUUCUCUUUUGUUUGUAGUUUCUCUCUUUAAGCAAGUUAUCAAUUUUUGGUUGUUCUCUUCUUCAAGCAUAAGGUAAAUCAUUAUCUUAUUUUAACUCAUUUAUUUUUCUCUUCACUAAUAGUGUGAUCUUUAUUUGUUGUGAAGUUAUGCAGCUAUUGUGAAGUUGUCGAUCUUUGGUUUAUCUCUUCAACCAUAAGGUAAAUCGUUAUCUUAUUUUAGCUCAUUUAUUUUUCUCUUCACUAAUAGUGUGAUCUUUAUUUGUUGUGAAGUUAUACAGCUAUGGUGUUCUAGGUUUUUUGCUAUGGUGAACAUUGGAGGAGAAAGAAUAAACAAUUUGCGUAAGAUCUCAUUACUCAUAUGUUAUUUUAUGAUAUUGGAAUAUGUUAAGGUUGAAUGUAGUUAAAGUUGUUGAUGAUUUAACAAAUCUAUUGUAAAUGUGGUGGAGUUGGACAUGAUUAUCAUGUGUUUGAUAGAAUGUCUAGGAGAUAUAUUGGGUUAAAUAUCUACUUUCUACAGCGCUACACAAAACACUGUUGAAUACAACCUUAUGUACUACUGCGAUCAUAUAAAAAGCGCCACAAAAAUAUUAUUAAAUAACAAUUUUAAGCGAUGUUGUUUUGCUAUUCUGGCAUAGUGGUCAUUCAAAUUAAUUAUGUACAACUUUUAUAUUAAAAUUUGAACAAAAUUGAGAACCUCGUGCAAAUUUUGAGGAGGAAUAAAAUUGAGGAACUCAAAUUUGUUAAAAAUAAGUUAAAGACACUAGAGUUUGAAUAAAAAUUAGAACAUGAAAUUAUAUUUCCUUUCUUGUUCAUCAAUUAUAGUUGCUCACUUGGGAACGUAGGGCAAGAUUGGUGGUAAUAAAUUUUUAUUUCUUGGACCUCCUAUCAAGAUGGGGCUUCUUGGGUGAAUGAAAGUCACUUGUGCUAAAAGCAUGUCCUAAAUCUUGUUUCACUUUAAUAAAAUUUUGAUACCUAAUAAAAAUUAACAUUAUUAAGGAUAGAGCACAAUGCGGAAGCACAGGAUUGAAUCAAUUGAGAACAAAAGAGAAGCAAGUAAAGGAUAAAGAAAAUAACACACAAGAUUUAACGUGGAAAAACCCCUCAGUAUGAAAAGAAAAAAACCACGGGCGAUCAAGAGCAAAAUUCCACUAUGUAAAAAAGAAGAGUACAAGAAAUCCUCUUAUAAUGAUGAGGACAAAUGACAAUAUUUUUUCUCACAAAUACUCUCUCAAAUGGAACAAGAAUUCUCACCAAGAAUGCACUCACAAUAUAUGUGUAAAUGAAAGAGAUGUUGUGUGUUGUGAAGAUGAUUUUGAAGCUCUCUAUAUGUGUCCUUUUAUAGGCAAGCAAAGUCUUGGUAUCUUGGAUAUGAAGCAUUGGAUGCUUGGAAACAAAGCCAUAAAAGUGACACAAAAUGUCUUUAGAGAGAGCCAUAAAAUAGUCAUAAAAUUCUUUUAAGGCAUAGAAAUGAGAGGCAUCUAACAAAAAUAAAUGGUGUAUAAUACAGUGAUAAUAUAAAAUAUUGUUACACUAUCGCUACAUACAUUUCUUUCUUUUAAUUUUUUACUACUUACAAUUUUUUUUAAUCAUAUAAUUGUUCCAAGGGUAGUUUUGACAUUUAACAAAUAUUAUUAUUUAUCUCUUCUCAUUUUUACUAUAGCAAACAAACGAAAGAUAGAAGAAAAUACAGAUUUCUCAUCUUUUUCUUUUCUCUUUCUCUUCUAUCAAACAAUAAGAAAAUGAGGAGGAACCCGCUUACUCUAAGAGUAAAACUUACUCCCAAUCUUAGCCAUCAAUUCUAGGGGAAUCCAAUGGUUUGAAUUAGUUAUUAGAUUUAAACCAUUUCAGUUCAUAGAAUUGAUGACUAGGAUGCACUAUACUUAUAGUCUAUACUUACAAUCAUCACUCUAAGAAAAUACACUAUACUUAUAAUCUUAAAUAAGUUUAAUACAUAAUAUCUUUUAUGCAAUCUAUGCAAAUUUGUAUUGUAGCAAUAUAGAAACAAAGUUAUGAGUUGUAGACAUUUACCAUAUAUAGAAUAUAACAUUGACUUUGAGUUGAGUUGAAAAAAUACAUGUAUUCAACAAUAUAACGUAUAUAAUUUUUUCAUUUGAUCUAUUGCAAUGUAAAUAAAUUCUAAUUAGUAAAUAUUACAAUUCAGUUUUGGUAAAAAAUCUCAACCUACAUUUAUUGUUUGGGUCAAUUUUCAUUAACACAAUUCCAUAUCAUUAUUAGGAAAUUUAAUAAACUUAGAUUUUUUUAAAUUUUAAUCAACACGAAAAGAAGAAAGAUAUUUUGUGAAAUUUUAUUACAAGCUGACACAUGUCUUUCAUGGAUAUAUAGAUGAACAACCGUAACACAACUUUCCUCUCCCAUUCUCACAUUUUUCACCAUAGUAUUGUCUUAAAUGUUGAAUCCUAUAAUUUCUUCAUUGAUGUUCAACCCAAAAAGAAGAUUAGAAAAGAGAUCAAAGGUGGAGUUGGAAAUGGGAAGUGAUGAAAUACCAGAUUUAACCAAAAAAGUACCUGCAAAUGUAUUAAGUCACAUCCUCACUUUUCUUCCACUUGAUGAAGCUAUAAGAAGUGGUAUCCUUUCAAAGAAAUGGAAAGAUCUUUGGAGAAAUACUACACACAUAGAACUGAAUGAGAAGAAAUUGAUAAAGCCUUUAUCACAACUUUUAAUUUCAAGAAAAUUUGUACCAACCAAAGAUGUUACAAAAGGAGCUAACAGGUAUGCUCUUCUUGUGUAUAGAAUCAUGUUUCAUCACUAUGGUGACUUACCUAGUUUCCGCAUUUUGCACUUAUGGAAGAGUCUUUUGCUUGGGGAAGUUCAAUCUUGGGUUGAGUAUGUGCUUAAAACUAGGGAAGGGGUUCAAAAAUUGAGCCUUGAGUGUGAGCUUGAUAAUGGAGAAAUGGGAGAGUGGUUCCUAUUCAAAGAUGACAUUCCUAAGCUCAAUUUCUCAAAGGGGAUAUUUCAAAGUCUAGGUUCGCUUGAAAUGAUUAACUACAAUAUUAAUUGUUCAAAUGCAUUUGUUGGCUGCAAAAACCUUAAAACCCUAAAGCUGGAGAAGAUCAACUUGGCUGACAGGAUCAUCAACGAUAUUCUGAAUAAUUGUGUAGUGUUGUAGAACUUUACUCUGAAUGAGUCUACUGGAUUUAACAAACUCAUUAUCAUGAAAUAAAGUCUUAAAGUUUUGAAGCUCCAAGGUCUGUGUGUGGAUAAGCUAAAAGUUUCAUGUGAGAAUCUUGAAGUUUUGUUGCUUGAUUCUUUAACUUAUCCUACAAAUGCUGCAAGCAUCUAUACACCAAACCUGAAAACAUUCAGUUCUUAUUAUUACUCAUUGUUUGGAAACAUGCAUGCUAUAAAUGAAGGGUACUCUAUUGUGAAAGGCUGGGAAAUUCUCGAACAUUCUGCAGUGGUAAGUUUCUUUGAAUAGUUUUAUUUUCUUAACUACAUCAAUUACAUUAUAAUAUAUCUUAAUCUUUUACUCUUCUAAUAUAAUGUUUUAGAAACUUGUUUGACCGAACCCUGUAUAUAGUAGCCAUGGUUAAUCCCUAAGAUUGCUUUUCAACCUCAUUUAAACAACCAUUUGUUGAAAAUGCUAAAAUAUGGAUUGCACUUCUAAUUUUAUUUGAGUUUCUCCAAAUUUAGUUUGACAUGACUUUGAAUUAUCUAAGGGUAUGUUUGAGCUAAGUUUUUAGAGGGAAAUGGAAGGCUUUAGAAUCGUCUCACAAAUGUAUAUUAUUAUUCUCAAGCCUUCUAUUUCUAUUCAUUUCCUUCCAAAACUUAAUUGAAGCAACACAUAAUAGGAGAAGACCCAAUUAUAUGGAUUGAACUUUGUUGACAUGAUAUUUAUUGGGCACAUUCAUGUUAUUGUUCUUACUUAAGUAGGUGAUAUGAAACUCCAUAUUGUUGUUUGUGACAUGCUCCCUCCUUAUGGUAAAAUUCCCUCUUUUUUCAUAUUGUCAUUCAACUUCUCCAACGGUGGAACCAUGAAUCAUCCUUGACUAUCUUGUCUACUUGAUCUUUAAAUCACUUCUUCUAUGUAUGAUUAUAUAUUUCAUUUAGUAUAUAUAUUAAUUUGCUAACCUUUUCUUAUCUAUUUCCUAGGUAUAUUCAAGCAACAACAUUUUUAAAAAUUUAUCAACCUUGUCAAUGGAUUUGGAUUUGAACCACAUAAGAGAUGCACAUGAUCUUUAUUCUGCAUUACAAUUAUGUACUUCUCUACAAGUUCUUGAAAUUUCUCUACCAAUAUGUAAUAUUAUCCUUGAGUUACAAUCCUUAUAUUAAUAUUUUGUUGGGGAAAUUUCAUUAUUAUCCAAGUAUAUAUGAUGCAUAAUAUACUUUUGCUUCACAGGAUAUUGAGAAUCCAAUUAUUGGUAGCCCUAAUGACUAUGAUUUUCCAUAUCCUAUCUCAAUGUUUUGGGAGAAACAAGAAUUGUGCUACUGUGUACAUGAAAAGCUGAAGUUUGUGUAGAUAAAGGCAUUCAAAGGAAAUGAACUAGAAGUAGAAUUUGUGAAGUACCUAAUAGCAAAGGCCACAAUGAUGAAGAAAGUCACCAUAUUAUGCAAUACCUUAACGGAAGAUGAUGAAUAUUUGUUGUCACUACCCAAAGCUUCUAACAACUUUCCAUCAAUUUGAAGGUUAAUACAAGUAAUAUUAUGAAUUGAUACUUUUUUUAUGAAAGGGAUGUUUAUCCUUUAACAUUCCUUAUUAGGCAUGUUUCUUACUUUCUUUGUUUGGUUUAUUUCAAUAAUUUUAAUCUCCUACUGAUAGAGAGAAACUUGAUAUGAAUAACUUCAGGAAGAAAUUUAUCGCUUCAAUUUAAAUGUCACUGAAAUGUGAACAAUAUAUUUAUAAUAAUUUGGGGUUUCUCUUUAGUGAAAUAUUAUGCAAUGUGAUUUUAAUAUUCUACAGGUGAAAAUGAGUCAAGUUAAGAUCAACUCGAUUUGUUUAGGAUCGACUUGAGUCGAGUUUUGAGUUAUGUUCAAUGCUGAAUUAUGUUUUCAGUUCGACUUUGGCUCAAUUAAAUUUUACGAACUUUCGAGCGGGUUACUGAGCUCAAAUCUAUAUCGCUCACUAGCAUAAUAUAGAGAAAAUACUGGUGGAAUAUACAUGUACAUGUUUGAUAAAGUUUGUGAAACCCUUAUUAUACAUAUGUCACUCAUCAAUCAUCUCCUCUCAUAUCCUUAACACUUCCUAUACCUCUUGAAGCCCUCCUCCAAUGCCCCCUGAUUGGAUCUCUUACCUUCCUUUCCCUUCAAUUUAUAUUAUUUAAUUUUUAGAACUCUAUAUUGUCCUUUUCUCUCCAGACUAAUCUUAAUCCUUACAUCGAUAACCAAAACUCUAUUUUGGAUUGUACGUCAAGCUCUAUUAAUGUAUGAAUUUGUAGUAUACAAAGAGGAAGGAGCAUCUAUACUCAACCCUAAUUUACAGUCAUACACAUCUCAUUUCUCGAUCUUGUAUUACUAGUGUACCACCACUUAAAACUUGAAGCUUCUAAUUCCGUUACCAUUUUCCCAACAACUAAGUUCCUUGUGGGCAUAUAAAAUUGGUCAACCUCAUAAUCACUGUGUCUACUAUUUACAUUGAUUUACAUGUGAGAGUGUGUAUAUUUCAUAUUUAUGUUCAUAUCCUAGACUGACAAAAUAAUUUCUUUACAUGUAUGUUUAACAUAAGCAUUGUAACCCUUGCUUAUUAUUUACUAAAUUUAAGCGAUAUUGGAGUGGUCUUUGCUCCUUUAAUACUAUAACCAACGAUACAAUGCUUUCCUUUUAAGCAAUGACCUAGUAUUAAUAUUAUCAAAUGACUGAUUUAUAUUAUAGAUAUUUAACAAAGUUCUAUAUUUUUUUAGACUAUGUAACAUAAUCUCUACAUUUUAUCGUGACGUUCCAAUAAUUUUAAUAGGUAUUACAAUUUCAUUAAAUUAAGACAAGGUUGAGGAUAAAAUUGGUGAUAAUUGAUCUGAACUCCUCCUUGAUUGCCCUCUAAUAGUGUUGAAUCUAUAUCCUCUCUAUUAAUGGAUUGGAUGGUGACAUAUAACAAUAUGAACUUAUAAUUAUUUUUAAACAAAAUUAUAAAUCUUCAAAUUCAUUAUAGCCUUGUAUUGGACUCUCUUGUAUAGAGGAUCUAGACAGCUAAAUGCUAUGAUUUUUUUAUGAUUUAUGAGUGUUUAUAUAGAGGUAAUCAUAUUGGUUAUUAUCAGCCACUAACUCAAACCAUGUUAGAGAUAUAUACCAAUUAAAUAUUUAAAUAUAUGACCCACCGAUUAAAAUGGCAAGAUGUAUGUGAAGAAUGUUUACAGAUUUUGAUAGGAGGUACGAUAAUAAUGCCGACUUUAUUGCACUGCACAUGAUUGGCAUGGUUUCAUAUUAAUUGAUCGAGCAUUGUCAAUGAGUAAUCAAAAAUGUUAAGUAAUAAAAAAUGUAAAGUCAUUCUAUAUAAUUGUAUCUUUUUGUUUCUUUAUGUUAUUUCAUUUUGUAAAUUAUAAGUAGAUUUUUGCACAAAUGAUACAACUUUAAAUUAGUUUUCAAGAGUUUGUUUAAUCAAUAAAGUUGCCAAGAAACCACACCCUUUUCCUGCCCAUUACAAAUAAAACUAAAAAAGUAUCUAUCAUAAAAAAUAAUAUUAAACUAUAAAAUGUAUAUUUUUAUUUAUAAAUUAAAAGGGAAUGUUAUUAUUAUAAACUUUGUUCUAAAAUUAAUGAUUUAACAUAUUGUGAAGUGAUAAAUUUAGCUUUCCAAUAUUAAAUAUAUUUGUUUAUAUUUCUUAAACAAUAUAGUCAUGACAUAUGCUAAUACGAUUUUUUAAGUUUAUGAUAUGUUGGUUUUACAUGUAUAUAUGCAAAAUUACCACACGACAUACAUACAAAAUAAACAUGCAGACUAUGCAUAUUAGUAAUAAUUAGGGAGAAAUAAAAUUAAUUAAUGGAAUGACAAGAAAAUGCAUUUUCUUUUGCACAUUAGUAUUAAGUAAUUAUACAUUCAUUAUACAAACUAUUCUUAAUACUUAAGAAUCUUAAAAGACAUGUAUAAAGAUAUAAUGUAUUAUAUGUAUGUAUGCAUGGACGACUGUUUUUGUUAUGAUGACAAGUGCAUUUAUGGUUACUGUACCACAAGCAUAAUUGCAUGAACAGUAUGAACUGUCACAUUUUUAAGCAAAAGAUAUGAAUAAUAAAUCAUAAAUUUAGCAAAAUAUGAAAGACUAUAAAGAAGGAAGUGAGUCAGUUUUCUGAGGGCAUUCAAUACAUGGUCUUGAGACUCUGAGUUUUAGAUAUAUAUGACUACCUUAUGACAAUGACGUUCGUAGAGGAAUUUGAAAUUUUGAAUCAACUAAUGUCACUAUAUACAAUCAUAUAUAAAUGAUUAAAAAUAAAAGAUAGUUAUUAAUUAUAUGAUAACCAUAUGUAUAUAUAUUUUAAUUUUUACUGUUCAAAUAAGAUAUAAUGAUCAACAUUAACUAUUCUUAUUUUUCACCUUUAAUAUCGCCACAAUAGGAUUGAGACAAAAAAAGUUGACUCCUAAGUGACAUAUGGUUAGUAGAUUUGGCUCUCAACCUUAAGUCCAUGGUUGGAAGUUGGUACAAAGAGAAGACAGAAAAGUAGCAAAAAAAUGUUGGGACAAAAGAAAAACUUAAAAUAAAACUUCAAAAUUUUAAGCACUUGGAUCAUUGAUUACAGCAACUGCAACCCCUCAUUGACUACAACAAAUUCAGAUCGGUUGGGAAAGUUGCAUGGCUAAGUCAAUGUCAAUCAAUUCUGAGAAUAAGAUAUAGCUUUAUGUCAAAUAAUCAAUUUUUUAUGUCACUGAUUAAUGAAUUAGAAUAUAUAUAUAUACAAUUUUUUUAUUAGGAAAAUUUUUAUUUAUGCAUAAAUUUUUUGUUUGUGUAUUAAUAUUAUAUCUCAUUUGACACUCAAAAAUUAAUCAAUCAUUUUCUAAAUUGAAUCUGUAUAUCAAUAAAGUUUAUAUCAUUAAAGUAUAUGAUUACUUUCCCAAAAGUGUCGUCACAGAAAUCAAAUCAUAGAUAAUAAGAUUGAGAAUGAUGGAUAAUUGAGUUGGUCAGGGUCAAAGAAAUUCCUAAAAUAAUUGAUAUUAGAGUCAUGAGCAAUUGUUUAAAUAUGCUUUAGGGAGUAGUAGCUUAAAACCUUUUGGUUUUUCUAAAAAAUCUAGUUUGACCUUAUUACACUAAACUAACCAGAUUAACGCACGGUUGUAAAACAAAAUUGUAUUUAAAGAUUAGAGUUGAUGAUGUGUGUAGCUUAAUUAGAUUUCUCUAGAUGUAAGCUACAAAAAAACUACAAAAAAUAAAGAAUGGAUGAAAUAUUUAAAUUUGCUUAACAAAUAAAAAUAAAAGUAGGAAGUUAACCAAAUAAAUCCAAUAUGUUGAAAUGGAAGUUAAAGCUUGUAGUGUCAGCAACAUGGGAGGAAUCAUAGUUCCAUACUAUGCCGAAUUCAGAUGAAAAUAAAAUGAAUCCACAGGUGGACAACUUCACCACAUCUGGCUUAAUUAUCAUGAGGACAAGUAAGUGCUUUUGAGGUUCCCUUUGCUCUUAUGCAGACAUGCAAUACCAACCAUGUCAUUAUGUUACUUGGUACAACAAUUUAAUGACUUUGGCUAAGUCAUACCUAGUAACAUGCUUGGUUUUGAGUAUUUCAUUAAUAAUUUAUUGUGCAUUUAAAGCAAAAAGUCCACACUCCUCACUCUUCACCUAAACAUCUAACAUACCCAUUGAUGGAUGGUUUUGUUGUUUUGAUGUGUGCCUUUGUGGAUUGCAUUUAGUUAGACCUAAAAUAAGCCUUUUAGUAUAGUCCACUAGCCAAAAGGGACUAGUGGUGACACACACAAAAUAGACCUGAUUAACAAAUAUAACAUUUAGAAUCAUAAGUGAUUAUAACCAGUAAAGGAGUAAAUUAUCACCUCCCAUUCUUCCACUGUUUCUCUGUUGAAUCUUUUCCCUCACUGGUAAAAAUGUUCUUCAUCUGCUUUAUGCUGGUAUUUAAAAUAUAAGGUUAACAAUCUCACUCAGAUCAAUUCAUUUUCUGAUGAAUAAAUAAAAACUCAAUCAGAUCAUUUUCAUUGGGUUGAACAGGAGCAGCAUGAAAGCCUUUAUGCAACUAUUAUAUAUAUAAUAAUGCCUUUAUGCAACUAUUAUAUAUAUAAUAAUUGCAUGAUUAGAGAGUAGGAUAAGAACUAACAAGUAAUGGAGUUAGUGAAUGGUGUAAGGUCUAGCUGAAUACUCAAAUCUUAUAUAAGGUCAAAGACUAUGGUCUGUUUGCAAGUUGGUUUUAGGAUGACGAUGAAUGAAAAUUAAAGUUUAAAAGUCAUCACAUACACUUGCGAGAUAAUUCUGAAGUUUUCAUUUUUCCCCCUCUAGAACUCAACUCACAAAUAGAUCCUAAGGCACAUUCAUAAAAUUGAUUCUAAGGCACAUUGCUAGGAGAGAACACUUACACACCAAAAGGACUUUAUAUAAAAUGCACAAGCAAAACUCAUCGAACUUGCGCCUUAUAGUCUAAUGUGCAUCAAUCUAAACCAAAUUCUAAUUUUAAUUCAUUAAUUAAGUAUAAUAAUCUCAAUCAUUCAAGAUAAUUUGCCAUUGUCUUUAGAAAUGUAAAAUGCAUUCAAAAAAUCCUCUAUAGGGAUUAAGAGAAUUCCUUGGAAAUUGAUCGGUUAGGGGAAUUUAAAAUAAUUUUUAUUUUUAUCUUUAUGUUGUUGUAGUGUGUGGGCUUGUUGGGACAUCUACGAGAAAAUGAAUAACGUAAAAGAGGCCAUCAAACGUUGACCCAAUAUAUAAGGAUUUGGUUCAGCUAAUAAGGUUGUAUUUAAUCAAAUUAUGUAGACUAUAUAAAAAUGCGCAAAAGUUAUUUAGUUGAUACACCUUGACUGAAUAUUACCUUUUAAAUUAAGAGUAAAUACUCAUUUCAGUCCUUCAUAUUUUUUCGACAUUACUAAUUUAGUUCUUCAGGAAAAAAGAUCUAAAAUGGCUCUAAAAAUUUCAAAUGUGAAUUAAAUUAAAAAACACAUGUUGAUUCUAUAAGCUGAAUGGCAGUAAAAGUUAUUUUGAGGUUAUUGAGACCUUAGCGAGGUCUCAUUUUGUUGAUAUAGGCUACAAGUAUGCUGGUAAGUAACAAUAUUUGACAUUUUUUAUUUAUAUAUAUAUUUCCUUUUGUAACUAUUGAUUUUUCUCAAAUAAGAUAUUUAUGAUGAUAGUGUAAUACAUAUAAAUAUAUAAUAGGUGGUGUUUGACAUGUCAAUGAAACAUGAUGGAACAAGAUGUUAUGUUUCCUAUUCCUGUUUGGGCUCAUAUACAAAUUGUCUGAAGCCCACAGUUGUUGUGGCCUAUGAUACAUGAGGCCGAAGGAAAACAAAUUCCAGCAUUAUAGUUUAUAGAAGAAACACAUUACCUGUUAUCACUUAUGAUAUUAAUUUUCAAAUGUUUGAUGAUGUGAACGACACUUAUUUAAAGGGAUAGUUAGAUACUCUGAGAGAAAUUAGUUCCUUACCAAAAAAUAGUGAAUGAAUACUCUUAGUUAUCCAAAAAAAAUACUUAUGAUAUUAAUUUAUAAUAUUAAAUUUAUUAAAUUAAACAAAUAACAAAUAAUAUUUUUAUCAGCUUUGUUUCUUUACCGUUACUCUGCUGCGAUCCACAGAGGAGUAGAAACUAGUUAGCCUUAUACUUUACACCAAACUCAAUAUAAUAAAAGUAUCAUUUUUUAAUACAACCUAAACGUCACACCUUUUUAAAGCUUAAACAAAUUUUCCAUAAACUUCAAAGCUCAAAGUCCAAAUAGAAAACUGACCCAACAACCAACUGGAACAGAAGAAAAAGAACCCAAACUUUAAAAACUAACAAAAUGCCACAAAUCAAAGAACUUCUAGUGGAACACCUAACAUUUCUGCAUUUUCAAGAGCAAAAGAUGAGAACUUGCAAGAAGUUUCUUAAUUAAUGCAAUAUGGUAGAAAAUAGAAAUGAAAUAUGCUGAUCAUGAUAACUAAAGGCAUAGCUUAGCAUGGUAGUUUUUUAAUUCAGUUUUUUUAACAACAAAAAAAACACUGCUUGGGCUUGAAAAGCUUUGAUCUUCAUGUGCAAUGUUGGAUAUUCAUGCACAAGAAGAAUGCUUGCAUGAUAGUGUAAGGAAAGUUAUUAGAGAAAGCUGAAAGCUUUAAAGAGAAUAUGCAGAUAGGUUCAAGGGUGGUUCAAAAUCAGCAAAUCUACCACAGUAAUAUUUGUAAAACAAAGUAACCAGAAGCACAUAAUGUAUGAAAGUUCAAAGGAUUACUAUCUAUAGCAAAUUGAUGUACAACAAAUUUUUGCUCAUACGACAUCAAUUACUAUACAAAAAUUCAAUAUUAUAGUACAUAUAUAUAUAAUAAACUAUCAGGACCAUUCGGCUUCAUUCCCUAUACCAAACUUCAGGUAUAUAAAUCCAUCACUUCAAUGACUUCAAGUGAUCAGAAAUCUUUCAUGUGUUGUGCAAGAGGAUUGGAUCCUUGCAGCAGGCACCAUUAGUUUCUCAAAACCUGAAAUUCAUGAGAACUUGUUAGGAAAAAAUUCAAAAGUUGAUCACAUCAAAAUAGUAAUGCAAGGGGAUAAAAAUUCAAGAACAGGUUGCUGCCUUUAUAAAAAAAUUAGCAGAAGGAAAAGAGGGACACAAAAAGGAGGAUAAGAAAUCCUUCAAAGCAAUGAAAGCAGAGCACAUAAAUUGAAACAAAAAUAAAAAAGUAAAAAAUGCAGCAAGGCUAGCCUAAAUUUGAAAAAUGGCAAAGACCCUUGAAACAACCAUUUGCAGAACACUAGAGAGGUCACAAACAGAAUCCUGUCCUAAAGUAUGUUGAGGAGAAGAGAGAAUUUUUUUGGUACUACCAAGGGUAUCCCUAUCACCUUUUUGGAUAAGAAACUAAUCUCUUUCGGGUUCGUGGCUAGUAUGCUGAGAAGAGAGAAUGUAACCAUUAAGCAUAGAAAAUGUUUGCUCACAGAAAAGUAAUAGAUUUAACAAACAAUUUAAUCAUUUGGUCCUUGUCCCCACUUAUAUAAACAGACCAUGUGAAUUAUUAAACAGCAGACUGCAUAAAAUAUAAGAAAUUGUGACAUGUUCACUAUAAAAUAACAUCCAAAAUCAUAGUACAAUAUCAAAGCUAUUUCAUCAAAGUACAGAGCGAACCAAAGCUAAGUAUGAUAUAUUACAUAACAAAGAUGCAAAUUGGAGUACAAAUGGUAUUUGUGGGAUUACAAUUUUUUAUGCAAAAAACACUAUGAGCAAGGUACUAUUCUAUCCGAAGAGCUAAAAUUGUUCAGGCAUAAAAACUGGAGUAUAUUUGUAAUGACAUAUGAGAAACCCUUUUAUGGGUAAUACAAAAAUUAGCUGAAGUAAACAAUGUUGUUGACAACUUGAAAAAAACUUGGCUCAAAAUGCAUAACAAAAAACAUAAUAAAGUAACAUCGAAACUAUAUUUGUAACGAUAUUUUAAAAUCUGAAUUGUUAAAAAUUGAUUUCCCAUAUGUCGUAAUCCUGGGUCGCUCCUGGCCUCUCCAGUAAUGGAGAAGAUCCAGACUCAAAAUAUAAUACCUUAAAUCAGGUCCCAUUAGGUUUCUUAGAUCAAGUAAGAGCAACCAUUAAGACUUGUACAACUUCAUGUAAAUGACUCACUCUACCUGCAAACAUCAAUGACUACACAAAAACAUCCACAGUAGCAUAUUGAAAAAUUAUUGGAAAUCCAAAUCAGAAAUGCUGGUGAUAAAACCUAUCAAAAAAGAGGCUUUAUAGUUUAUAUUAAAAUAAAAAAUACAUUUUUUAAGCAUGAAAAGCAGAAGCAUAUGAGAGAAAAAAUAGCAAGCACCCAUAAAUGCAAUGAAGAAUGAAAAAAUAAAUAAAAAAAGAAAAAUGGGUGAGAAGGAAGGAGGGUAAAAAAGGUACCUUUAUGGAAGAAAGUAUAAGGUGAGUAAGUGGGCAUGGAGAAUGGCAUUGCAAGAAGAGUGAAGAGAGAGAAGAAGAGGAAAAUGGAAGGUGAGAGAGAGAAAGAGAGAGUUAUAUGACAGGGGUGAGUGAAGGUGAAGUGAAUAAAGGAGAGAGAGAAGGGGGUGUUUGUUUUUUGAUGUUUGUUGUUUUUAGCGUAAAUCGAGGUAAGGUGUUUGGUUAUAAGCUGUGAAAAGCCCCACCACCACAUCAAAGGAUGUUCGUACUAUACACAUUAUUUCUUAUUGAUAAAACAAAUAAAUCUAUAUUAAUUUUAUAUUUACUGACCAUGAAAUGACAUACAAAGUUAUAUAUAUUUUGAGAUAAAUAAUAUGCUUACUAUAUAAAGAAUAUAUCAUCCUAAAAAUUCAGUUAUAGAGUUGGCAAAAUAAGGAUUUGUUCAUAAUUUGUGCUUCUCAUAUGAGUUUUUUAACCGGUAGGAUGGACUAUGGAUAUUAUGAUCUUAAUAAUUAAGUAUUAUGUUUUUUAUUUUUUAUAAAGAUAUAUAAUGUUAAAUUAUUUGAAUUAAUACAUUAUUAAAUAUAAUUGAUAUAGUUUUAUUUUUUUAAUUUUGUUUAAUUUUUUAUUUCUCAUUAUAUAGCGAGUGAUAUACAAAUCCACCCUAUACUUAUUUAGACGAACAUUAGGAAGAUACAACCACGACAAACAAGACAGCUCAAAUUGCCAAUAUUACUGCUAUUCUUAUACCAUGUUACAUGUAGUCCUUGUUCUGGAUUGACAACUUAUUAUGCUCUAUUCUGCUCUGCCACUAUUGGUUUUAUUAGAACUAGUGUGUCGGCAGUCACUCCGUGUCUGCUGACCUACAUUUUUACUUUUUAGUAUUGAAUAUUUAAUUUUUAUAUAUUUCAUUUUAGAGAACUAUAUCAUUUUUUUCGUACAUGAUAUUAUAAUUUUUUGAUAAAAAUAUAAAAUGAAGUGAGAUAUUAUUAAAAAAUGCAUUGGUAGUUUAACAUAUUUAGUAAACGUAACUUUCUCUAACCUUCAUUUAUAUUUUUUAUUGUAUUAAAAAAUAUUAUAAUAAUUAUCAAUUAUAAGGGCAAAAUAGGUAAGUGAAAAGCAUAUCAUGUAUGUAGUUAUAAUAUGUUUUGACUUUAUAUAUAACUAGUUUGUAGUAGUCAAUAUUGUAUGAUACUACGUAUUUAAUUUUUAUAUAUUUUGUUUUUUAAAAUUAAAAUGUAUUUGUUGUGUUUUGUGUACUAUUAUACUUUUUUUGUAUUUAUGAUAAUAUUUACUUUAAGGUGAGAGAUGUGAAUUAAUGUGUCAGGGAUAGUUAUUUAGAGUUAUAUGUUUUUUCGUAAAAAUUAAAUAAUGUUGAUGAGAAAAAAUGAAAUGCAAAUUAUACUAUGGUAGAAGUUACACCAUGUUUUACUUUUUAUAUAUACUAGUGUGUACAGGCACUUCCUGCCUGCCGACGAAUAUUGUGUGAUACUACAUAUUCAAUUUUUAUAUAUUAUAUUUUUGUGUGUGUUUAUGAUAAUGUUUAAUUUAAGGUGAAAUAUGUGGUUAAUUAAUAUAUUGGUGGUAGUUGCUUAGGAUUAUAUAGUUUUUUUUGUAAAAAUUAAAUAAUAUUAAGGGCAAUAUAGGAAAUGAAAAUUACACCAAGAAGGAAGUUAUUUCAAGUUUUGGCUUUAUAUAUAGUAUAGAUAGAUAUAGAUAUAUAGUAUAGAUAAUGUUUAAUUUAAGGUGAGAUAUGUGGUUAAUUAAUAUAUUGGUGGUAGUUGCUUAGGAUUAUAUAGUUUUUUGUAAAAAUUAAAUAAUAUUAAGGGCAAUAUAGGAAAUGAAAAUUACACCAUGAAGGAAGUUAUUUCAAGUUUUGGCUUUAUAUAUAGUAUAGAAGAUAAGGUGAAUAACAUUAUUGUCUGUUUUUAGACUUUACCUCACAUCUUUCAAACUUUUUUUAUUUGAAUAUAGCCAAAUAAAAAAUAAUCAUACAUUUCUGUCGGUCCCGAUCCAAAUAAGAUUUAUAUAUAAGACGUAAAAUCAUAUUCUUAUCAUGGUGUUUGCUGUCAGGAAUAUUUUUAUGUUUCUGAACAUUAAAAAACAUAAGCAGGGUCAGAUUUGAUAGUAUUUGGAAUAAAGAAUAUUCUUACAUUCUCCAACAUCUCAUUUGAAAAUGUGACUUGCCUAUAUGGAUAAAAUAUUAAGAAAAAAAUGCUAACAUAAAUGUCACUCAUCAGAAAAUGUGAACAGGCAAAUUUGGAUUCCAUUUAGAUGUCAAAAUGUGGGAGUAAAAUGAUUUCUAUGUCAUUUUCCUUUUACUUUUUUUAUUUUCAUGGUUCCAAAUAAAGUUAAUUUUAGAAAAUCUAUCAUAAUUUUAAGAAUCUUUUAUAUUAAACUAGCAUGAAAAUGAAACUUUGCUAAAUCAUGCCAACUAUCAAAUCAUUUGUCUAUCUCUUUCUUUAGACAUGUUCAUUCAAUGAUAAAAUUGUUGACCAAAAUAAUCAUAUAUUAGCAAGUCGAGUUCAGGCUUUAAACUACAAGAGUAAAAAUAAAAGGGCAACUAACUCCACGAGAAUCUCACCUGGUGGGAUAUGAGGAGGAUAGAUGAUAUAAUCUUACUCUCACAAGCAACACUAUUUCCAUGAUUUGAACUCAUGAUCUUCAAGUCAUAAUACAAAAAACUAACUUUACCAUUGCAAUGAUAUUCAUCCUCUUAAUAAUAAGAAUAUAAUAAAAUAUAAAAUCUAGUUGGUGACCUGGAGUGGAAUAAAUGUCUGCACAACACAUCAAGUGUCAACCUUGAGAAAAUCCAGGCAAUGUGUAAAUCAGUCUAGAGCUAGUUGUCUUCUUUUAUUUUUCGUGAUAAUAUAAGAAGGUAACAAUUCAUUCAUCCUUUCAACCCCAUUUACUUACAUUUUUUAGAAAUUGCAAUGCUAAACCAAACUUAGGAAACAAAGCAAGGAAUGAAUGGCACAAAGAUGAGUGGAACCUAGUAAACUUCACCAGCCAUGUUGCUAGUGGGGAUUCUUUGUCGUUUCUCCACAUAUGCAGAAGGAAACCAUCCUGCUCUACCAUUGCAUUCUCCUUCUGACCACCCCAUUGCAUUCACCUGGAUAAAACAUUUACCAAGAAGACCUAAGAGAUUAAAUCCGCUUAAAACAAAUUUUAUUAUGACAUUGCCAGAAGCAACGGUUAAAAAGGGUAGUCCAGUGCACAAGUUCCCACAAUAUGGAGUGGGAAGAUGGUAUAUAUAUAUGCAACCCUACCUUCACAAACAUCUAAAGGCCUGAUUGAGGAGAUUCAUAUGGAAAAUAAUAUAUAUUAGGAUGAGAUGAAAAACACACCUUUCUCACAACAAUAAAAUCACCCUUUGAGAAAUUUAGUUCCUUUUCUGAUUCAGCACUAUAAGGAUGCAUUGCCUGCAAGAGAUGCACCAAAGAUCAGUUAAUGAAGGAAUAAACUGCAGAGCCUUUUUCCGUAAGACAUAAUGCAUUAUUCACAUUGUUAGAAUCAUAAGGUUCCAUAUUAGAAGUUCAUGAUUCAAUUUGAUUUGAUGUUUAAGCAAAUUAGACUUUAGUCAGCCUACUGAAAGAGAGAUUGGCUGCAAUCAUGAAAACCACAUGAUUCAUAUCACCUUCCCACCUUUACUUUAUCCAAUUGAGAAUCCUCAGAUUUCUAUAUUAUACCAUUCACAACAACUGGCUUAUUACAAAAUUGAUAUUUCGAAAAUAUUUGGACUAUAUGCCACAGCGAUGCACUUCUACAACAUUCGUUACAGUGAUACACGUCUGACUCAAACAAAUUACAAAUGAAUUUUUUGCCUGACAUGGGUGCAAUAUUAUGAAUUAUGAUUUUUCUUCUGAAAAUUUCACUUUGAUAUACAUUCGGUGUCCUACAAUUUAGCGCGACCGUGGAACAGUCAUGUGUUUGUCACUGUUUGUGCUUCAUAAUUUGAAACCAAGGGGACUAAGGGAGGGUUUACUCUUUCUUUAUUUCAUGAUAUGACAUAUCAUAAAAUUGUUAUUAAUAUCAACCAAUCUAGUUUCUGUUUAAUUCAUGCAAUCAGUCAAUUUCCUCACACAGUAAGAGAUUAGACCUUAAUGACUAGAGUAAUGAAUCAAUAAAAACGUAUGCAAAUUAAGCAAUUAGAAACAAAUGAAUGAAAUUUAAAAGAAAUUAUCUAUAUUUUUCCCAAAUCAUGAAAAAGGUAAAAGUUAGGAAUGUGUAGCAUACUUCAGCCAAGAAGUACAUUGUUUUCCCUGAGCCAGUCUCAGAUGUAACUACGGGAGGAGCAGAUUCUUUCUUCUGUCUAUCUGAAACGAUCUGAGAGAAAAAACCAAUGAGAUGAAAAUCUAUUGCUAUUCAAAGAAUGAGCCCAAUGCAUAGAAACAACAAAAAUAUUAAUCACAAUAAUUAUUUCAACAAAAAAAGUCAAAACUUCAAGACAGUUAAUUCUCACCUCAGCUUCAAUUUCACCAAGGAUAGCUGCAACUCUUAAAUGAAAAGUCUUUUCUCCUUCAACCUAAAAUCAUAAGCACAAUCUUUAAAAGUAAAACUUAAAUCAAUUACAAGUUUGGCAUGACUUGAUAUAAUCAUUUCUAUUGUACCAUAGCAACAAGCCUUUGAAAAGUCAGUCUCUGCUGUUGUGCAUCAGUAGCAGCCAAUGCAGCUGCGGCUUCUUUUCCCAGAAUUGCCAUGUUUAAUUUCAGUUCCUGCAUCUUUGCUUCUGCAGCAUGGAGUUUGGCAACUUGUUCAGCCGUUGGAGAUUCCCGGACCCGUGCUUGUCUUCUAGCAAUCUCCUCCCUCUGAUUGAAUUUUGAAUACCAAAUUGAGUUAUAACUUACAAGAUUAAGAUGAAAUAAGUAAGCAUCUUAGACUCUGAAGUAAAUGUUACAGCAGAAACAUGUGUAGGGAUUGCAAAUCCACUCCAAAUUUUGACUGACCUGUGUCUCUGCUUCUUGUCGCAUUCGGCUGUACCGUUGAGCGAGAUGGCGAGCAUCCUCCAAAGGUGCACUGGUGAUCAUCGAUCUCAAAGGGUCCAAAACCUGGAAGUUGAAACCAUUACUUCAUGUUUCUUUCUUCCUAGUUUUAAAAUAAUAAAUUACAUUAACCACCCCAUAGGAUUUCAAAUAUUACAUGGACCUCUUCUAUAGCAUCAGAACAUACACAUUUUCCUUAUAUUGGAUUUUGACCUGUACUGAAGGAUGUCAAGUAAAUAUUAAAAAUAGGGGAUUAUGUCAAAGUAAUAUUUAAAAACAUCAAGAGAGGUUAGUAUAAAUUGUAUAAUUUGCUCUAGUAUAAAACGGCUUUAUAAAAGCAAAUUGGAAAUUCUAUCUUCAAAGCUAGCUGCUCUAUAGCAUGAUCUAUUUGAUACUCUAAUCUAGAGAUUCAGAACAGAAUAUUUUAAACAUUGAUAUGCUUUAUUCAUCUAAAUUAAAACUAAAUUUCAUGCUAAAAAGGAAGAGUGAUAGCGUAAAGUGUAAGUUUUAAAAACAAGUGAUUUGAAGAUGGCACUUUUUAGUUAUUUAUGAAAAAAAUUAUUUUCUGUUUGCAAACAGUUACAAAAACUUACUUUUACUUUCUCUCUAUUCUAUUGUAUCUCUCAGGAAAAUGAUUCUUUAAGAAACUACUCAUUUCAGCUUCUGAUUUACAACCAAAAAACUGACUCUUUUAUCCAACAAAGUGCACAUGUUAGAGGAGUUAUUUUUUUGAUAGAAUGUCUUUCUUGCCAAUAAAGCACACAAAGAAACAUUAAACUAAACAAAAUAGUUGAAACAGCAAUAUGGAAAUUUUACAUUCCUAUGUGGCUCUUACUAAAAUAUUCCUUCACAACUUCACAUUUUACACAUCAAUUCCCUGAUUGGCAUAAAAAGGGCACCCCAGUGCACAACACUCUCAUCAAAUGGGGUAUAGGGAUAAAUGUAUGUAGCCUUAUCCCACAAGUACAGAGGUUGUUUCCAGGAUUUGAACUUAGGACAGAGUUCACAAGGCAAACAACAUUACAGUUGCGUAGAGCCUUACCCUCAACAUCGUUUCCUUAUCUUCUUUGUGAAAAAUUACAUAAUCAACAAUUCAAUCUCUUGGCAACUGGCACACAAAAUUUGAACAUUUUGGGACUUAAUAUUGACUUUAGGAGAAACUUUUGGCAUGAUAACAUAAUAUUGUAAAUCAGUAUGGCAAAAGUCGCUUAUGAACAAUGAUGUUGAAUAUGUAGAAUUUUAUGAUAUCACAAUUUCAACUUUUCAAGACUAGAAUAAACCAAGAGCUAGGCAUACUCGAAUGAAUUAAAUUGUGGCUAGGAGAUAAAACUAAUAGAUUAUCGUGUUGAAUUUGCAUUAAAACUAAUACACAUAGGCAAAAUAUGAAAAGUCAACCUGGGAAGAUAACAGCUGAUUUAAUUCUUCUUGCUCCUUCUCUACAUGUUUGCGAGCAUCACCAUAUACUGAUGCAGCCUUAGCCAAUAUGUUAUCAAUGCUGUUCUCUGCUCCAUAUUUACAGCAAUCCUCUGAAAGUUUCGUUCCUGUCUACCAUGGACACUAUCUAUAAGCAUCUACUAAAAAACGUAGGUCGACAAAAAAAUGCCAGGUAUACGCUAUCAUGACUUGUGAGAGUAAAAUGAAUUGUCAGAAGAAAAGAAACAAAAAAUAUUUUUCACCUGCUUCAAUAUGCCUAUAACCUAUAGCUGUAAAUGUUUCGGCUGCUUUAACAAUUUCCUUUUGGAAGUCCUGGAUCAGCAGAAGAUAGUUUCAAACAUAUCAAUAAACAGAAGCAACAUAAAAAAAUCCCAGUAAUUGUAAAACAAAUUUCAUUAACAAAUAUAUUAUAAUAACUCUGUGUCGUUCACAAAGCCAUCACAGGCAUAUUUACAACUACUCCCACACACCACUUGUAAGUCCCUCGUACCGUCACCACCUCACUUAAGUUUAAGCUAGUUAAUAUACAUCCCAUAAGUCAAGUGUACUCUAUAAGGAAUAAGUUCAAAUGUGUCUACAUAGCUACUUUAUGCCUUAUGCAGUUUACACCUCCAGGUGCUUUGUGAUGACAUAAUUCCGAGAUUACUGUGUUAGUUGUGGGUUAAUGUCCUGUUGUGGCAAGGCCUAUGUGGGGUUCAAAUCAAAUUGAAACCGGCCCUGGCUGCUAUUACCUAUUGGGCUUACAGAUAUAAAAUUGCACUCUAAAAUACUUGAUCCAACAAAUGAUAUCAGAGCAUGCACUCAAAAAGGCAUGACAGAUGUAGAAGGGGGAUUGUUGGUUGUGGCCAGCAUCCUACCUUGGCAAGCCCGGGUCAAAGUCAAACUGAAAGUGUUGAGUGCUGUUAAUAAAGGCGUGUGCGACUAAUAACUAUAGCUUUUGACCUAAUGGUAAGCAUUUGAGCCUAGACAAUGAGCCUGAAGCUAAAAUGUAUAGAUAUAACUGCAAUUAAGACGUAAAUAACUCCUGUACAUACUGCCAGAACCAAGCUUAACACACAACAGAUUAAGAGAUUAUUCUACAAAUAUUAUAAGACGAAUACGAGUCCAAAAAUUUGGCUGCGAGCUCCCACAAUAAUGUUACUUGCCAUGGAUAGACUUCCCUAAUUCACAAUAUUACAUACUAUUUUGAGCUUAUGGAUUGGGACAUUCAUUGUAGCUUAAAACAUGGCAAAACCAAUGAUUAAUCUAAAUAUGACAAAAAUCAAACAGAAAAUGUUCACCUUCCCUGUACGGGUGGCCCUAUAGAGCUUCUCCAAUUGUUGAUGUCUCUGCAUUUCAACCUCAUCAAUGACCACAACAUCUGAUUUCUCAUAACCACUACUGCUGAAUUGCUUUAUCACAGCCUGAGAAACAAAAAAUAAAAAUAACAGCUUGUUUGGGAAAAACAGCAUUUUGACUAAGCCUAAUUCACAAUCAUGCAGCAUAAAUCAAACAAACAAAUUGACAAAGGCAUUUCAGAACAAUGGAAAACAAUAAUUAUAAUGUCUCAAAACUCAUAAAUUUCUGAAACUUUCACAUACCCAUAUGCGAAAUUGAAAAGAAAAUAAUGGAAAUCACACCACAAACACUGAAAAAUUCAAACUUUGAAAAUGGGUAGGUACCUGUAGCUGUUGUUGUUUGGAAACUUGCUCUCUGAAUUUGGUGGCUUGUUUUCUCAAAGCGUCCAUGACAUACGCUUCAAAUUUUCACAAUGACAGAGAAGUAAAUCGAUGAAGAUGCUAAAAAAGUACCACCAAAUCCAAAGUAUCAGAUCCAAUGACAAACUCAAACUUGGUCAAUCGAAGUUAUUGCUAGCUGCUGUAGGAUGAUGUACUUAUUCAUAAUUUUUAAAAAUAAAAUAAUUCAUAAGUAAUAAUAUUAUAUAUGGAUAAUUAACCGAUACAAAUUCAAAAGGUGACUAAAUAUCUGACCCGUUAAGGGGGGAAAAGAUAAAUUUUAGAACUACCUGAAUAACUUAAAUUAUGAUUAUAACUAUAAAUAUGUUUUGGUACUUUAACGGAAAAAUAGUUUUAAGUUGAUCUGAUUUGUUUGGAUGGUACAGAAAUAUUAAUUUUUACAUACUAUAUAUAAAGCCAAAAUAUGGUGUAACCACCACCAUGGCGUAAUUUAUAUAUUCUUAUUUUACCCUUCAAAAAUUAAAUUUUAAAAAAUCAUAUAAUCUUAUAUAACCACUUCAAAUAUAUUAACUAUAAGUUGCAUAUCUAUACUACUUAAUAAAGGAAAAACUUAACCUAACUUUCAUGAAGUUAUUUUGGGUUUUCCUAUUUCAUAUUUUAUAAUUUCUAAUUUUAUUGUAUAAGUUAUACUUUCAUCUUUAUAUAUAUUUAUACUACUAAACAUUUAUUUCAUAUUUUAUAACUUCUAAACUCUUAUUUAAAUAAAUAUAAUUACCUCAAACGAAUAUAUAUUCAACUGCAAAUUACAAUAUAUAAUACAACUUAAUAUGUAGAAUACACAUUACAAACAAUAGGAAAGCGGGUUGACAGGCACAAUAGUGCCUGUCAACACGCUAGUAUAAAUAAAGGUAACUUUUUUUGGUACAUUAAAUUAAGGUAUUUGUUAAUAUUAUAGAUAUUUAGUUUUUAUAAAAAAUUUCUAAAAAUGGAAUAUUUUAUUUUACUUGUCAUGACAAAGUCCAACUAAAAAUAAAUAUUAAAAUAAAAGAUAAUAUAAAUAUCGUUACAAAAAUUAUUUGGAUUUGAAUUUACUAAUAUCAAAAUUUAAAGUUAAAAUUAAAUGAAAAAAGAUGUAUGGUCAAAAGUAUAAUAGUUUUUUAAACUAUCACCUUAAUAUUCACCACAUUAUAAUUGACUUUUAAAAUAUAAGUAAUAAAAAUAAAUUAUGGAUAAUUGUGCUAUCCCAUCUUCAUGGGCUCAAUGGGAAAUAUGCAAAUAAAUGAAUGGAGUCGUCAUCAAUAUUUUUAGAGGAAAAACAUGAAAAACUAAUUUUUUUAAAAGAUUGGUCAGAGAAAUUAAGUUCGGAAGUCGGUUACGGAUACGAAAGGUAUUAGGCAUAUCAUACCACCCGUAAUAAAAACUGUACCUAGAUUAGUUAUGUGGAUAUUUAUUCAAAACAUUAAUUUUGCCAUCACAUUAUCAAACAAAAUAAAGAAAGAAAAAAAACAUUUUUUAUUUUUUGUGUCCGAUAGGGAAUAUCUGCUCCUACGUAUCUUUAGCUGCAAUAGAAAAAUCAAGGCUACAUAGUUCUUUCAUAAAAUAGUUGAUUAGUCGAUAUAUUUUUAUUUUAUCCAUAUAAAAAUUAAUAAGGCAAUGUGGCGCGACAAGGUACUAGUCCUAUAGUAGAGCCACCUCACCUCAUCUCACGACAUAAGUAGUGCCACAAGGCACUCAGCCUAUAGUGGAACCACUUCAUGUCAUUUUUAAAAUUAUUCAAAAAAUUUAUUUUACAAGAUAAGGUAACACGACAAUACACAAGGCCUAUAGUGGGGUUACCUUACCACGUUUUGGACGGCAUGAAGUAAUGCGACAAGGCACCUGGCCUAUGGUGGAAUUACUUAAUAUCAUUUAAAAAAAUAUUUUUUUUCUUUAUUGCAUUUACACGACACCUUUAAAUUUAUUUGAAAAUUAUUUAUGAAGAUAAAGUAACACGACAAGACACCAAACCUAUAGUGGAGUUACUUUACUUUGUUUUAGACGACAUGAAGUAAUGUGACAAGGCACUUGGCCUAUAGUAGAAAUACUUCAUAUCGUUUUUUAAAAUAUUCUUUUAUAUGUCACCUUUAAAAGUAUUUUGAAAUUUUAUUUAUGAAGAUAAAGUAACAUGACAAGGCAUCAAACCUAUAGUGGGGUUACUUUACCUCAUUUUAGACGACGUGAAGUAAUGCGACAAGGCACUCGUACACAUAUACAUAGACUACUAAAUAAACAAAUAAUAUUUACUAAAAAAUACCGAAUAAUAAAAAAAAAAUACCAAAUAAUAAACAAUGACAUAAAACAAUAAAAAAAUGAAAAAUGAAAAACAAAUAAAAAAACACGACAGAAACAAAAAAAAAACAUAUAGUUAAUAAUUAAACAAUAAUCAAAAGUAGAAAACAAAUUGGAGAUUUAAUGUGUAGGGUUUGAAAUUGGUUUGACGGUUUAGGUUAAAUUAAUUUGGGUGUCUAGGGUUAGAGUAGAAUUAAAUUGGGUUUAGGUUUCAAAAAUCAAUUUGGUGACUAGGGUAAAUCAAUUUGGGGACUUAUGGUUAAAUUAAUCUAGAGGUCUAGGAUGAGGGGUUACCAUGGGGUAACCCUUUUUUUUUGUGUUGGACAACCAACGGCUGCUGGAACAGCUUUACCGCUGGCCAAGGUGGUGCACCACCGUCCACCGGGGCGAUGACGGUGCAGCCAACCGCGAGGACCACUGUUAGACGGGGCAGUUGAUAAGUGUCAAACAUAUCUAAAUUUCAUACAUAUUUAUGGCACUUAUCUUAAGCAUAAUUGAGAAAAACAAACUUAAAACAAUACUUUUUAUAUAAAAUAUCACAAUCUUGUAUAUUUAUGUUUGUAUUUAUUUUUUAUGUGUUUUGUAGGACUUAGAAAGAAGAAGAAAAGAGGAAAAAGACUGAUUGUCAAAAUGAAAAAGAAGUCAAAAUAAAGGUGUUCAAGCAGGAAGCUGGGCGUGGACCAAGCCACGCUAAGCUGACCUGGACACCAGCCUGACCUAGACCAAGCUGCUCAAGCAAGUAGCUGAGUGAACCUGCUUGGUCGCUCAGCCUAGCACCAGACUAAUCGUGACACGGUCAGAACUCAAGCUUGGCACGGUCAGACACGAGCCUGGCACACGUCCAAGCUGCUCAACAAGCAGCUCAGCGGUGCAACCAAACAACUCAACGGUGAACCAGACUCCUGCCUAAGUCAUCAAGCACCAGACCACGUCUCAAUCAGCACGGUCAAAGUUGCUGAAUAAGCAGCUUAGCUGUGCUACAGGUGUGCUAAGCGGUGUGCACCAAGGCUUGACUUAGCCAUCAAGCAAACCAUGAAGUCACCAAUGACAUCACUUCAAGUAGCCCACCAUAGGCUUUUCAGAGUAGCUCACCAUAGCUGGUCCCAAAGCUUACAACUAGCUUUGAUGAGUCAAGCUUAAGGAGGUGACGGAGUUGCUUGAUCAAGUGACCAAUCUCAUGUUGAAGGGUUUGGUUAGCUGUUGAGCGGUGCUAACAAACAGCUCAGCGGCUCCAGGGAAACUUCUAUAAAUAGAGGCACAUUUCAUUCAAAUCAAACAUCAUAUAUCACACAUAUCAUUCACCAUUCUGCCUAGAUAUUCUUCCCUGAAGUUCUCUCUUCCCGUUCUUAGUUCAUAGGAGUUUUAUUUAAGUAAGUUUUGUAAUUUUAGUUUAUAAUUCAAGAGGAGAAAAGGAGAAGGCAAAUGAGAUGCAAAAAUCAAUUUUGUAAUCUCAUUUGGAACUCAAAGCAUCCAAUCCUUGGAUGGAUGGCUCAUGCUCCUAACAAUUUCUUUUGAAUAUGGUUAUGUUUUCUACUUCUUCUUAUAUUAUAAAAAGUUUGAAUUUUAAUCAUUCAAUUUGGUGCUUUGGUUAAUAUUAUUUGUUUGAUAAAUUCUUAAUAUUCUUUUCAGAUUGAUCACCUAAAAACUAAUUUCAAGUUAUAAAAAUUACUUGUCUUAAACACUUAACAAAUAAACUAAGAAGUAGUUGUACUACUUAGUUUAUUUUCCAAGUUAAGCUUUUUCUUAAGAUCUUAUAUUCAUUACUGCUUCAAUAUUAUAGUAGCCAAGAUUAGGGUGUGAUAACCUAGUCUCUUGUGGACGUAAUAUUGUUUAGUAAUAAAUAUAAGUGAUUAUCAUUCUACCAUUUUAGAACAUACACUAAAAGGAGGAUUUUAGAACUUGGUGUUUGGAGUUAAUCAAAGUAAAACAUAAGAACUUAUCUAAGUAGUUCAAAAUCAUAAGAAGUUGAAAAAUAUUUUCUUUAUUCAAAAUGAUCUUGUCUCCUCAAGAAUUUGUUAAUAUUUAGUUUAUGUUUCUUGUUAAUUGUUUAUAUGAAAUUCAAUUCAAAUCAAAACCAAAAUAUGUUUAACUCAUUAUUUGUGCAUUGAAAUGUUCAUAUGAUUCAUUCUAUUAGGUCUAUUAGGCAAUUCCUUGUGGUUCGAUAUAACUUUAUACUAUACUACAAUUGAAUCUUGAAAUAUGUGUGAAUUGUAAAAUAGUAAAGUGUCAUCAAUAAAUUUAUUUGUUGAAAACACCUUUUAAUAUAUAAAAGUGUUGAAGCUAACUUACUAACUUUAUUUAUUGUUAUUUACAUUCCACCAUUUAUUUAUUCUUUAAUACCAACCUUCCUUAAGGAAAAAGUUUGGUUUGUUAAUAAAAGGAACAUGAAAGGUUUUAAAUAAAUAAAGGUCACUUAAAUUUAUUAUUUUUUUGUUCUUUAUUUAUUUAUUUGUUUCUAACAACUAACUAUUCAUCACUUUUGUACAUUAGAAUACCAUUAAACCGGUGUUGGAAUUUAUUCCACAAAACCGAGAUGGUAUGCAAAGGUACUUAAUAAUUAUGUAAUAGGGGAUUGCUUCGAUACCAAUGUACCAGCGUUAGAAUUUAUUCUAACAAAGCCGAGAUGGGGAAAAGAAGGAAUAACUUAUUCACAUGAUUAUUAGAAGUAAGUUGUAACUGGAAUAUUCUUGAAACCAUUAUAUCGGCGUUGAAAUUUAUUUCAAAAAAGCCGAGAUGACAAACAAAGAAGAAAACUGAGUUCACUUACUUAAUCAUAUAAAAAGAAAACACACUGAAUUGAGAGAAUUUCCGCUUUCAACAAAUUGGCACUACUGCCAGGACGAUUUGUUGAGAGAGGAAAACCAACUCUUCCCCCAAGAAAAACCUUUCAACAACACUCCAGCCCCUUUGGGCACGGCUGUGGAUAGACAGCCCUCCAUGGCUGUUGUCCAGUCCUUCCCUGUUACACAGUGGGGCUGCGAUGGGGGCUUAAGGCCGAGCCCACAUCGUCCAGCAGCCGCCAUUUCAGAACACUUUUCUGACAGAAAAAAAAACUCAAAAAAAAUCAUACAUUAUUAACACUAAAACAUACAAUGAAGAAGAAGAAAAACAAAUGAGGUAAAUAAACCUUGAAAAGAGCUUGAGGGUAAUGAAAGUUGAGGUUGUGUGAGAAGUCCCUUCCUUCUUACUCCUCCUCUCUUCUCCUUUCUAUCUUUUUCUUUUUUUAAAACAAUGUUUGCUUAUCUUGCAAUUUUCAGAUCUUUCUUUAGGUUAGUAUCUAAGUUAGGCUUAAAUAAGGGGGUGGGGAUUAGGGUUUCUGGUUGGGCUAGGGAAAAAACUCAGUUGCACAAUGUUUGAAAUUCAAAUUUCCUCCCCCUUUUUGCUUUGAAAUAUUUUACCCCAGUCAAAAUUGAGUAUUUACAAUAAUGUAUUUACUAUAUAUAUAUUUUUAGACUAAUAGUAUAUAAUAUUACAUUCAAAUUAAAUAAUGGAACCAAAAGUUGAUGAAAGAAUUAUGUCAUAUAGGCAUUUAUUUCUUUUAUGACAAAUAUUAUAACAUUACUUAAUAUAAAAAUAGCAUAUUUAUUAUUAUUUUAAUUAUAAUAAGCAUAAUUUACUUUUGGGAAUUCAUGACUGCCUGCGUAGUUAUUUUCUUAGUAAGGGUUAAUUAUUUCAAAGGAGAUGUAUCAUAAGAAUUAAGGAUGUUCAAAUUUUGAUGUGUUUAAAAAUAAAAUUGAAAAUUAGAUCAAAUAAAACUACAAAUAAUGUGGUUUGAUUCAUUUUUUUAAAAUCACUUCCGUUUAGUUUUUAGUUUAACUUUGGGAACCAAACUAACUCAACCUGACUUAUUAGAUGUUUAAGUUAUACAUAAAAUAUUUCUAUAUGUAGAUAAAAUAUUUACAUUGUGUAACAUUUUAUCUAUUCCCACUUUUUUAUUCAAUCAAACAAGAGAAAUCAAGAAGAAAAUACAUAUUUAUCUUCUAUUUUUUUUCAUUUCACUCCUAUCAAACAAUAUAAAAAACUAAGGGUAUGUUUGUUUUGACCAUUUUCUGUUUUCAUUUUCAAUGAAAUCAGAAAAUGAGGUUGAAAACAUGUUUGUUGUGUUGUUUUCAUUUCAUAUUUUUGAAAACAUGAGCUUCAUUUCCGGAAAUUUUGAAAAUGAAAAAAUAUCAUUUCCAAUAUUUUCAAUAAUCAGACAAUGACAUUUUAUUGAAAAUUUUAAGACUUUUAUUAGUUCAUUCUAUCUAUAUCUUUUGAUGUUUUAACAUUUUCAUGUUAUUCCAAAUCUUUUGAUGUUUUGAAAACUCAAUAUACAUUUAUAUUUUACUUUCCAAUUAUACCCUUAUUUAUUACUAAUAUUUUAUCCACAUGUUUCUUCAUUUCAUUUUUAAUCCACUUGUUUAUGUGUAUUAAAUAUGACUAUUUUAGUCAAAUUUUAUUGAAUUUUACUUCAUUUAAUAUUUUUUGAAACUAUGUGCAUAACCUUAAACAUUAAAAGAUAUGGAAUGAGGAGCAUAUUAUUUUCAAUUACUCUCUUUGCUAAUCAACAAAAUGUUGAAAUCAAUUGAUGAGGGCCUCCCUUGUCCUUACUAUCACACAUCUUCAUAAUAAAAUUUAUUUCUUUACCUCUUAACAUAAUAACUUUUCUUCGUCUCUCUUAUGAUAUUGUUGAAAUAGUUCGAUGAUGAUUAUGAUAAUAUAUGAUUUUGGGAUGAAAAUUGACGCUUCUUGAUGUUACUACAACCUUAAUUAAAUAGUAUAGCACUUGUACGUUAGUAAUUUAUUUUAAUUUUAUCUUUUUUGGAAAACACCUGCAACUGCAUGAUAUGUUCAUUAUGACUUUUCACACCCUUUUGUAAUAGCAAAUGACAAGUCCAACAACUAAAAAUGUUCAACGUAUUAUUGACAUAAAAUACAUUGGAAAGAAAAUGCAAGUAUAAAAUAUGUAUACAUUUAUAAAAUCAUUAGUUUGACUACUUUAGUAAUUAAAAUUUAGAAUUGGAUUCAUUACAAGAGUAAUUAUCAUGGUUUAUAAAGUUUAAUGUGUAUAGUUAUGAAAAUGAAAAUGAUAAUAACAAACAUAUUUUCAGGAAAUGAAAACAUGGAAAUGAAAAUUAUUUCUUAAAAAUGAAAAUAAAAAAUAGAAAUAGAAAAUAUUUCUUAAAACCAAACACACCCUGUUUUUUUUCCACUUAUUUUUCCUUCUCUUAAGUACCUCUCACGUUUUACUCUAUUCCCACUUUAAUUUCUUCUCUCGAGGAAAGAAUCCUCUAAAGAUUAUGCAUGGAGUUUAUGAAAGAAAUUGAGUAGCAAUGAUGAAUGUCAUGGAAGUUUCACAUGUUAUCUACAUGCCACAUAUGUUUGGCACUCCUCGUGGAUGGGACCAACUUAUUCACACCUUUUUUCUUGACUAGUUGAGAUUCACGUGUGUAAAAAAUUAUAUUAAGAAACUUUGUAAAAUUAUCAUUUUCAAUUAUAUUAACUUAGUUAGUUGAAUAAAAGUUUAGAUUAUAAUGUGAGAUUAUUUUCAUUUAAACUAAUUAAUUCAAAAUUUAUCAUACUUUCAAAAUUAUUAUUUGCUAGUUAUUCAAAAACCAUUAGCUAAAGAUAAUGUUAUGAAAAACUAAUUAAAAUAAAUGUGUAUUUUAUUAACAGAAAUGUUAAACUUAACUUCUACUAGCCUACAAGAAAAGUUCCAAAAACAUAAGAACAUGCGAAAAGAACAAAUAGCAUAUGAACAUAAUCUACUGUUAUAGUAAAAAAAACAGGUUUAUACUCUGAAAAUAAAAUAAAAUGUCUCCUCACAAGUAUACUCACUUUGACAUAUGUUUAUGUUUUUUUCCUUUCUAUUCUCCUCUUCUUUCUAUUUAUACUUACUUCGAAGGAUAAAUGAUAAUUAUAUAUAAAUAUUUGCGUGUUAGUACAUAGAUAUUACAAUCAUAUAUUUUUAUUGGUUACUAACAAGAUUAAAAAUAAUUGAAUGAUAAAAACCAUUGAAGAUGAAAUCUUUAGCAAUAAUUCGACUAGCUCAUAGAGUAAUUUUAUAAAACAGAAUCAACCUCUUCAUCAUAUAUAUACCAAAUUCCUGAAUUCUCCAGAUACCCAAAUGACCAAUUUCAAUAAUUGCCAAGUUUGAAACUUUAUCUAUCGUGUUUUAAGCUCCAAGUUUGAAACUUUUAAGUUUUAACAAUAACAAAGUCUCACCUUUUUCAUUACCUAAUACUAAAUAGUCGUUGUGUCUUCACUUCAGUUUCAAUGUCUGUGAGUAUUUUUCUGUAGGUUUGGGUUACUCUGUGUUUAUUAUACCUUUAUUGUUCCAACCAAAUAAUAGAGACACUGAGGGGAUAGUGACAGAGAGGUAAAAGCUUCUAUUUCACUCCAAUCAUGCCAUCAGGUCCUAAGAAGAGAAAAGCUGCCAAGAAAAAGAAGCAAAAGGAACACAACAUCAAUAACAUUCAAGGUACUUUUGCCCACUAGCUUUAUUGUUUUAAUGCUUUUUUGAAUAUGCAUGUGCACCUAACUGACAAUUAUUCAUAGAUGGGUCCUAUUCAAUUAUUGAUUUUAUCUGUUUUUCUUAUAUAAUGUUUUUAGGGUCUAUUUGGUUACAUGGGUAUCUGUUAAUUCUUCUUGUUUUGCAUUUAUGUGAUUGGAAUUUUGUAUUUGGGGUAGUUGGGUACCUAGGUAUUUGUUAUUGUUAAUGUUAUUUGGUUGGUUUGAUUGAUUAUUUGAUAAGAAAUGUCAGAAAAUGAUGAUUUGAAGUCCCAAUAUGAGAAAGGAAGUGAUGACGGCGAGGUUAGUUCGCCGGAACAUUAUGACGAUGAUAAUCAUCAUCAAAAUCCAUUUAAUGAAGGCAGUGAAGAGGUUGAAGAGAGAGACCCACCAGCUGCUCAACCAAUUGCUUCUGAUCCUAAGUCCGUGGAAGAUAUCGCGAAUGAUAUUCAGAUUGACAAAGUGGGAGGAGAAAAGCAGGAUAUUGUUGUCUUAAUAGAGGGAGAUGUGAAACCUGAGGAGAGUCCUGAGAGUAAAGAUGCAUGUUUUGAGCAAAUUGAGACUGCCGAGGAAUCAUAUCACGGGAAUGAGAAUGCCAGUGGUACUUCAAAUGACAAACCCGUCACUGAGAAAAACUCAGAGGAUGAAGAUUAUAAUUCAAUUCAAGAGGCUAUUGUAUGUCAUGCGUUGGUUAAAUCCAUUGACUCCUCACCUUCCAAUACGACUUCGAUUGCUGAAAAUGCACCAGUUGAGGAGAGUGGUAAUUCAGCCGCAGAGUCUUCUGUUAAUUCAGUUAACGCCGUAGCUUCUUUGUCUGAGGCAGAAAACAGUGAUAAUGGAAGUGUAUUACUAGAGAAGUCAGUAGUCUCUUCUCUAGGAGUGACCGAUCUAGCUAUGAAGAUAGAUGAGGGUCCUGUAUAUCCCUUAACUGAUGAGAGUGCUAGAAUGUCAAAUCUGGAGGAAACAAAGUCAAAGGAAUGUGACAGCAAAGUAAUCACUUCAUUGUCUGCUAGUCCUUUCACUAGAUCCUCUAAUGGUGCCGAACAUAUUAAGGCUUCUGAGACCCCAGAAUCCUCUGAAUAUCAGGUUUUGCAUUUUCUCAUCUAUACAAGUUUGACCACACAAUUGCGGUUUGUGUUUUUUCUUGUAGAAAAAUCAUUCAAAAACUAUUUUUACUUGCUGAAUUGAUGUGCAGCCUCUUGUAGCAUCAGCUCCUCAUAUCGUGCAACAGACCUCAUGGCUGAGUUGUUGUGGAUUGUUUGAAGUUGUGUCAGGCUCAGAUAGAUGAAUCCAGGUUUGGAGUUAUUUUACCUUAUAAAAUCAUAUUUUAUGAUAGAGCAUUAUGGCGUCAUUCGAUCCAUGUAGCUGAGUCCACCUAGUAGGAUAAAAGCUUGGUUGCUGUUGUUGCCCCUUCUAACAUAAAAAGUUGUACUGGCUGAGAUGGAUGUGCUGCACUUGUUUAAUGCCUAUUUGUGGUUUGCUUGGACUGCUUACCCGGUUACAUUGUUUCUAACCGUUUUGGUUACUGACGCUGCUAUGAAUUUUAGUUUAGCAUAGACAAGCUUGGUGUGUUUCCUUUUUCACUAACUACUGCCUGUAUAACUUAAGUGAAUACCGGGUUUGCCAUAGGUCCUUGGACCAAAUUUUAGUGACUAGAUUGAAUGUGUAGAAGUAAAGAUGUUAUGUUUUAUGGUAAUAUAUAAUCCAUGCUACUAUUUGGUGCAUUUCAGUGGAGCUUAUAUUUUUUAAGGUGUUAGUUAUUUGUGGAUGAGGUAACAACCAAUGAUGAUUUUUUUUUUGCAUAGUACUAGCAGUAUAUUUAACGAGAUAAGGACUCUACUUAACCAUAAAUAUGCAUACCAUCCGAAAAAUGAAUGUAAGAAUAGUAGCUUAACAAUAAAAAAUGAGGAAUAAAAGAAGAAAACUGCUAAAAUGUUGUUGCACUGGGCGGGCAUGAUUCUGUAGAAUUAUUAGUGUGUGCUUGUUAUUCUGAAGACGCAUCUUUGUUAUCAUUCAUUCUAGCCUGAGCAUGAUAGAAUAUUUAUAUCUUUUGGACACAGAUUUUGUUAUUUAAGGUACACUUGGAUUUAUUUAAUAGUAUUGGUUAAUUUAUAAGUUGUCUUGUUCUUUAUGAUAAUGCUUACUUUGAGUAUUAUCUGAGUAGUAUCAGUAUACAUUUUGAACUUACAAGUUAUAACCACGUUAUGGCUGACAAAUAUCUGCCUUCUGUUUUUCUUGCAGAAAUGCAAGCAAUGCGUCAAACUUGUGAAGACUUAGAACAUUGUCAAAAGAUUUUGUGAUAUUUUGACCUUGAAGGUUUUUCGAAAUUUAAUGGGCAACCAGGCCCAACUAUAUAAUUCAUAUAAGGUUUGUUUACUUAUAGUGAGUUUUGUUGCAGUUAUUGUUGUUAGCAACAAUUACAGCUCAAUACUUGAGUCUUCUAAACUGCAUAUUUAAUUCUACUAGUAUUUUGCAAUGAGGUAUAAUUCCAUUAUGUGGAUAACAAUUUAAGAGUUCCUUAUAGUUCUAUGUGUGGAAUUGUGGAUUGUGUUGUAAGAAAUUUGUCAAGGCUUUGUACCUGAGUAAAAAUAAAAAAACCUUGUAGAAGGAUUUAAAUGACUACUUAUCUUUUCAUACAUGGCUUUUGUGAGAAUAUUAUUAUGAUUCUAUUGUGCCCUAUGUUCAUUUAAGGCCAGAACAUGGUUAUCAAAGUGAUGCAGCUUGCUCUUCUUGUAACCUUUAUAGCAGAUUAUGUUUGCCAUGGUGAGGCAUUGGAGAAAGUUUAUAGGAAGUAAUUUUAGAAAGACAUGGAUAGUGUUCUCCAUUAAAGGAUAAAGGUUUUGUAAAUUAUUCAUACAAAUCCAAUCAUUCAAAUCAGACCACAAUCUGAAUUUGUAAAUUUGAAGUUUUGAAUGGUGUAAAACAGAACAGGUACAUAAUUCAGAAAGGAAACAAAGAGGAAAACAGAAGAGAAAGAAAUACAAGCACACAAAUACAUUCUCUCAUGAAGAAAAAAAAGAUUCUGCUAGCUUUCACUUUUAACUUAUAUAUGCAGCAACACCAUGGAUAGCAGCUAUGUAAAAAAGCUGUGUAGCUGAAAGGAUAAUUAGAAAAGCUUCCAGUGUUCUCUGCAAAAUUGCACAUUUCAGAGAGUUAAGAGCAAACUCUAGUGGUUGAAAAUAUAUAUAGACUUAGGAAGGUUUGCAAAUGAGUUUCCUUGUCUUACCAAGUGAGCAUUUCUGAUAUGAAGCUCAAUCUCUUUGCAUGCAAAACUGCAGAAAUUAAAUUUUAGUUAGGACAAUAACAUCAUAUAUGACAUGUUAAACCUAUUGAAUGAUGCUACGACACAUAAUUCGACAGUAAUGUAAAAUCUUUUCGAGUAUUGCGUGCAUGAAGACGACAGACAGAUCGUAGAGCGCGACAGAUUACCCCAUGGCUAAGAGUGUAAGAGACCAAGCAAUGGUAGCAACUGAAGCUGCAGAUGGUAAGCUCUCAGCGGUCCAUGAACGGAUAUGAUUGAUUCCGGAGAGUGUUGAUGCAGCACCAACGACUCCAGCAAGCAAAGCAAAUGUGACAAAGAAUCCAGUAGCAGCAUUUCCCAUAGGGAAGAAUAAGGGUGAAAAAUGAGCUGGAAGUUUUAAUUCUGAACCUGCAUGAACAUUUUCUUAAUAACAGAACCUUGCUAAAGAAAUAAACAAUUAAUAAAGAGUAUGUGUCACAGAAAAUGUGUCAGUUUUUUACCUAUAAUAAAACAAUGAUCUAUUGCUCUAUUCACUGCCCAUGCACCAAUGCCUAGAACUAUGACAUACAUGCAGAAAUUCAGCAACAAAAGAAAUGUGGCAAUUGGCUUCAUUUGCUCAUUAGCCAUCUUUUUAUUAUGUGGUCUUGGAUAAGAAAAAAGCUUCUUGAAACAAGAAAGGUAGUUUGGGGAUUUGAGAAGCCUAAAAAGUAGUGAAGGAAAUUCUCUAUGCUUCUAUUUUGUGCAAGUGAGAGAGUUCUUAUAUAUGAAUGAAAAAUGAUGGAUUAAAAUUAUUUGGGUUCUUUUCUUGGCAAGGUUGCUACUGCUCCAUGCAGGAUAGUAUAUGAUUAUAUAAAUGACAGCUUUAUACUUCACAUUCAAGGCAACAUCAAAUAUGAUUGAUUCUUCAUUGCCUCAUAUUUUAAAGGUUUGUUUAACUAAAACACCAUCAACAGCUAAGAUGUUUGUUCUAUGAGGCAAGUGAUAUUCCUUGCCACUUGUGGACACUUCUUAUUCUCACAAUACUGGGUCUACAAUCUCACUUCACAAAGCUUAUUUUCAUUGUUUCUAAUAAAUUCAAUUGCAAACAUUUAUUAGUUUUGUUCAAUAUAUUAAUGUAUUUACACUGUUACUGUAUCAUCUACCAUUCAUUUUUUAUCAUCAUUGAUUUUUAUUAAAAGUAAUUUAAAUGAAUGAUGGAUGAUGCAAUGAUUCUGUAUAAAUCUUUACCAUGGAUAUACAUUACAUUUUUUUACUUGGUACAGAUAUUAUUCAACUCAAAACUGUGAAAGCAACAUUAAUAAAUAAAAAGUGUUUAUUCUUAAUCUAUUUAACUACACUAUUUUUUAAGGUUGACGGAUUCCUUAGUUAUUGCUCUUAGCAAACCCAAUUAUUCUUACUAAAAAAAUAUUACUAUGUAACAAAGAACAAGAUUAAUUGUUAUUAACAACUACUAGUUUUAAUAUAAAAUUAUAAAUACAAGAAAUAUCUAACAGAAAAUAGUUUAAACAUUAAUGAUGUAAGAAUUUUUUUAUAUUAUGAAUAUAUUAUUUAUCAUUUAUGUGUUAAUUAUUAUUAACUUAAGCAAAAAUUGAUGUAUAUAUAAGAGUUUGUUAACAUGAAUCAACUUCAUUUUAUAAAGGUGUAUGUUAAUGGUGUACCCCAAAAAUGGUCAAUGUGAUUCAUUACUUUAUUCGACUAAACUAUGCUCUCAAAGGAUAUUUUAGUAGGUAGAUUAAAAUUUUACUAUCCUCACACUCAAAACCCGUCAAAAAGUAAUUCAUUCAUUAAUAUCUCUUCAAUAAUCAACAUGUAACUUCAUAAAAUGGAGUGAACUAAUAUUAGCGAACCCCAUAAUUAACCAGAGUAACAAUUUUAUAUAUAUCCAAUGUAAUAUUUAUGUAUUGACAAUAUACAAAUUUAUAUCAUCCAUAACUUAUUAGGAUUAAUUUUUUGAAGAGUUAACAAUUAAAUAAUGAAUGGUUAAUUAAAUGGAAGACCAUUUAAGAACACAAGGAAAGACUUGACCAAAUAACAAAAUCUACUAAAUUGAGAAGCUCUAUAACUAUUGUAUAAUGGAAUGUAGAGUAAUAGUACAAAACAUAUUCAUCCUAUGUCGACCAUCACAAAGCUUAACAAAUAAAGAAGCUUUCUUCUUCCUCUCUAGGAUUAACUUAUCCAGAGAAAGUGAGAUAUUUGAUUACUUCAUUUGAUCACCAAUUAUAAAACAAACCAAAGUAACAGUUAUACAAAGUGCAUAUCACAACACCUGAUAGUGUGAUACUUAAUUUGGGAAGAGUUACCCUUAGAAUUACUUUUAGUUGCAAUAAUUUUAAAAAAGAAAUAGAGUUAAAAGGGGAAAGUAAAUGAGUUACUACCAUAAACAGAGAAAACCAAUAACUCUUGUGUGUGGGGAAGGUAGAAGGGUAAAAUGGUGAGGGAAUAUAAACUCAUACAAUUGUCAAGGCUAAAAUGAACAUAUUUAAAUUGUGCCUGUAAAAUUACGUAUAAGUCUCUUGAUAUGAAUUUUGACUUUUAUAUCAAAAUAUAUAAAAUUGGAGUUGAGCAAAUUUUAAUGGAAGACUGAAAUAAGAAUAAUAAAAAAAAUGAAGAAUUACUUUAAUCCAUUUAUAUAGUAGACUAGAACUAAGUUUAAAUGAAAAAUUAGUACAUGAUAGUAGGAAAAAUAACAUUUUUGGAGUAAAAAAAUAGUAUUACAAAAACAUUAUUUAAACCCACUAACAAAAAGCUCUUGAUAGUUUAUCUCCACCCACUGAUAAUGUACUAACAAGACUAUAAUCAGGAAGAGUAUGAAGGACUGGUUUGUUCCAAUUCAUUCUACAGUCAAAGUUGCAAUUGUUACUGGCCGAGUAUAAAAGCCAGGCCUGGAAGAGUUGCACCUGGAUUUUAUUGAUGAUUUAAACAUAAAAGUAGUAACUUUGGUGACAACUUAUGAUACAGCAUAGGUCAUACAUCUUGGUCGGGAUAACAUGGAUAACAGUUAUAAUAGUGUGAAAAACAAACAACUAAAUGUCGCUAGUAUUUUCAAAUUGAAGAUUUAUUUGAUAUGAAUAAAAAAUAAAAUAUUAACUACAAAGAUAAAAAACAAACCAAGUCAAAAAUUUGGACCAUUUAGCACUGUUGUAAUAAUAAACUAGGUUGACAAAACUAUCCUUAACAUAUUUCACCAAGGAUAAGAUAUACCAAGUCAUUGACAAUCGCUCUCUCCAAUUCAGAACAAUCAAAAUUUGACAAAUAGCAACCAAUUUAACAAUACCAUGAAAGCAUGAUAACAAUCAGAUAACAUAUAAAACCGUAAAUCAAGUUUUUGGCACUGCCACAAAAAUUAAGUUUUCAUGCAUAUUCAGACUAUUCAUCCUCCUGGCUGCGUAGUCUAGCUGUUUUGUUUGUCACAACAACAUCAAGUUGUGCAGCUCUCUCAACUAUUUCCUUCCUCUUUCUUGUUGAUAUAUUGUGAGCAAUCUCAGCAGCGUAAGUCCUGAAAUAACAUAAUAAAAAGCAAUCAGAAGACAAUAUUUGAAGUAAAGCAGUAAACUCUCAAGAUCAGUAUAAGUCAAGAGCUUCACCUGUUGUGCAUCAGAAGCAGUUCCAAGUCUUUCACAUUGUGAACAACAAAUUUCUUGAAACCAUUCGGAAGAUAGUGACGAGUCUUCUUGUCUGAACCAUAACCAAUGUUUGGCAUCAACACACAUCCCUUGAACUUCCUCCUCACACGAGAAUCUAUACCCUUUGGUCUGCGCCAGCUUGGCUGAUGCAAAUAAAAUAGGCAAAAAUGGAUUUUCAUUAGAACAUAAGCAACCCCUUCAAACCUAAGAAUUAAACACUGUUGGUCAGAUAUGUAACAUAAAAUUCAAUAUUUUUUUACCAAUUUGUUUAUAAUGAAGAAACUAUGACUUAAAGAUAUAUUGAUUGAAGAUGUAGAAAGGGAAAUAGUAAGAAAAGGCAUGUAUGGAAAGAAAAAAAGGCAGCUCUGUCACAAAACAUGUAUAAAACUUAUACUUGCUCUUUAAACAAAAUAUCAUGCUACAGCAAUAGACAAAAAAUCUUACACUGGAUAUCACAUGCAACUCAAACACAAAAUAUUUCUAUAUGAUAUUCAGUUCAGUAUUAGUCAGGGCAUUAAAAUCUAAUUUUGCAUUUUAGUCUGUUUUGUUCUUUAAUUUUUACUAAAAUCUUAGGUAUAGCUAUCCAGACAUUUUUUUUUGUAAAUGAAUAAUUCAAUUCCAUUGCAAUUUAAAGUCCCAUAAAUUUUGAAUUACCUCAUCCAAACAAAAGUUAGGGUUGCACCAAUUCAAAUCUUACCAAUAGCUUAUUCGCGCUAAUGAAAAUAAGCUUAGCAAAUAAGAAUGUGAAAUUAGUUUAAGAAAACAUUAUGACCUUAUUAUAAGCAGUUAAGCACAUUUUAGCUUGUAUCGGCAAAGCUUAUCAGAAGUAAUACAAGCAGUAAGAAAAAACCUAGAAAUGCAGCUUCAACUAAAUGGUGAUAUUCGUGUAUAAUAAUGUCAAAUCAAUAUCAAAAAAUUAUAUCAUAGCAUGUAAAAAUUUGCAAGUACAACAGCUGAAUCCGAAAUGGAUGUUAAAAAUGAGCAAUUAAAAUCAAAAUCGCGAAAUAAAUAACCUUGACAGAGAUUUUACGAUCGCUCUGGGGGCGCUUGAAUCUUUUGACGCGCUUCUUCACGAUCUUCUUCGUAAGUAGUGGAACCGCCAUUGUUACCCUAUCUCCUCUGCUUCAGCUUCUGCGUCUUGUGGCUGCUGCGGAAAGCCGGUUUAUAUAUUUGAAAUCUAAACGGUGUCGUUUUCUAAGGUUGUGUAUUUCUUGUGGACUAAAAAUUGGGCCAAAUCAAUGGCAAUGGGUUAACCCGGCCCAAGUAAAAACAUCAAUUUCAUAAUCUAACUCUAGUCUUACUAAGUCUAUAUCUCACAUUCAUUUUUAUGUGGUUGUAAGUUUAGUUUUGGAGUCAUCUCAUAAAUUUAUUUUAUGAUUUUCAAAUUUCUUUUAUUAUCCUUUACAAUUCAACUUAGAAAUGAAUCAUAAGGGAUUGACAUAUAUAUAUACUAGUGUGUACAGGUACUUCGUGUCUGCCGAUGAAUAUUGUGUGAUACUACAUGUUCAAUUUUUAUAUAUUAUAUUAUUUUUUUGUUUAUGAUAAUAUUUAAUUUAGGGUGAGAUGUGUGGUUAAUUAAUGUAUUGGUGGUAGUUCCUUAGGAUUAUAUAGUUUUUUUGUAAAAAUUAAAUAAUAUCAAGGACAGGAAAUGAAAAUUACACCAUGAGAGAAGUUAUUUCAAGUUUUGGUUUUAUAUAUAGUAUAGAUAUAAUGAACCAAUUGAGGAAGUUAUGUUUAUGUCAUGUAGGUUAUAAAGAUUGGGAAGUUGGAAUUUUAGUACAGUGGAAGUUGAAGAGUAGUGAGAGAUCAUGGUUAAAUUGAUAACUCGAACUCAACCUAGGUAAUGUAGACUUCGAUUGGUUUUGUGAAAAUAGACUUAGUGAGAAUGAAAACUGGCCAAUGAAUUUAUAUUUGAGUUUCAUCUUUGACCUUAUUGCACAUUAAUAUAAAAGAUCAAAAGUUCAUUUCCUUGUUGAGAAGAACAAUCACAUAUCUCGAAAAGGUUUAGUUUUUUACUAGGUUACCUUGAUUUUGGUCCUCUAGUUUUAAUUUGACAAAUUUAAUCCUAAUUUUCACACGUUUUUUCAAAGUUAGUCCAUCACAAAAAUGACUAAUUUGACAUGGCAAAGGAACACAUGAUAAAAUUCAACCACCAUAACAGGUUCAAACACCCUGAAUUCAUGCAUACCAAGUGUGGUGAUUGAAUUUUGCGACAACCCACCAAACACAACUGGCUUAAAAUUAAACCACCAUUAUUCAAUCCAAGUUUCCAAAUACGAUGAACAUGAAACAUGUAAAAAGAAUGGAAAAAAAUUACAGAGGGGGGAACCUCUAUGAUUUAAGGAAAGCAUCUGCAAAAGUCUAUCGUUGGUUGUAAUAGUUCAAGAACUAUACAAGACUGGAGUAGACCCAUGAGAUGGCAGAACCAUCAAUGUACCUAUAAUUUUAGGUUCACUCUAUAGCAGCCUAUAGAAGCAUCUAAUUACUAACCAGUUAUACUCCACAGAAAUGGUUUGUGGGAAUAAACUGAAACUGAAACAAAAGAUCUAUAACACACUGAUAAAUGUUCUUGUAUUAGAAAGAAAUGAUGUGUCCAGGAUAUUAUUUAUCCAUCAGCUUGAGCCUUAUUCAUCUUUUUCCUUAAUUUAUGGGAUAACAGAUAAGAGACCCUUGUUAUUCAGAAGAAACUCUCUCAACCAACAAAAAUCUAAGGGGUUGGUCACUACCAAUAAGAAUGCAUGUUAACUAAUUUAUGCUUGAAUUCAGUUACCCCCUCACUGUAGUAUUACAAAGUACAUAUCUUUCUUGCGUGCAAAAAAUUAACAGCAUCAAUCAUUAUGGCUGAUAAACCUCUGGAAGCUGAAGACCAACACUUGCAGCAGAUUUUCCAAGAGUUCUUUUCACUUCAUCUGAUCUAUCAAUGGCAAUAUUGUAUGAGAAAAGCAAAUCCUGCAAAAUUGCCAAUAUCGAGACAUGGUCAAUAGGUCAGGCAGAUAAUGAACCAAUUGAGGAAGUUAUGUUUAUGUCAUGUAGGUUAUAAAGAUUGGGAAGUUGGAAUUUUAGUACAGUGGAAGUUGAAGAGUAGUGAGAGAUCAUGGUUAAAUUGAUAACUCGAACUCAACCUAGGUAAUGUAGACUUCGAUUGGUUUUGUGAAAAUAGACUUAGUGAGAAUGAAAACUGGCCAAUGAAUUUAUAUUUGAGUUUCAUCUUUGACCUUAUUGCACAUUAAUAUAAAAGAUCAAAAGUUCAUUUCCUUGUUGAGAAGAACAAUCACAUAUCUCGAAAAGGUUUAGUUUUUUACUAGGUUACCUUGAUUUUGGUCCUCUAGUUUUAAUUUGACAAAUUUAAUCCUAAUUUUCACACGUUUUUUCAAAGUUAGUCCAUCACAAAAAUGACUAAUUUGACAUGGCAAAGGAACACAUGAUAAAAUUCAACCACCAUAACAGGUUCAAACACCCUGAAUUCAUGCAUACCAAGUGUGGUGAUUGAAUUUUGCGACAACCCACCAAACACAACUGGCUUAAAAUUAAACCACCAUUAUUCAAUCCAAGUUUCCAAAUACGAUGAACAUGAAACAUGUAAAAAGAAUGGAAAAAAAUUACAGAGGGGGGAACCUCUAUGAUUUAAGGAAAGCAUCUGCAAAAGUCUAUCGUUGGUUGUAAUAGUUCAAGAACUAUACAAGACUGGAGUAGACCCAUGAGAUGGCAGAACCAUCAAUGUACCUAUAAUUUUAGGUUCACUCUAUAGCAGCCUAUAGAAGCAUCUAAUUACUAACCAGUUAUACUCCACAGAAAUGGUUUGUGGGAAUAAACUGAAACUGAAACAAAAGAUCUAUAACACACUGAUAAAUGUUCUUGUAUUAGAAAGAAAUGAUGUGUCCAGGAUAUUAUUUAUCCAUCAGCUUGAGCCUUAUUCAUCUUUUUCCUUAAUUUAUGGGAUAACAGAUAAGAGACCCUUGUUAUUCAGAAGAAACUCUCUCAACCAACAAAAAUCUAAGGGGUUGGUCACUACCAAUAAGAAUGCAUGUUAACUAAUUUAUGCUUGAAUUCAGUUACCCCCUCACUGUAGUAUUACAAAGUACAUAUCUUUCUUGCGUGCAAAAAAUUAACAGCAUCAAUCAUUAUGGCUGAUAAACCUCUGGAAGCUGAAGACCAACACUUGCAGCAGAUUUUCCAAGAGUUCUUUUCACUUCAUCUGAUCUAUCAAUGGCAAUAUUGUAUGAGAAAAGCAAAUCCUGCAAAAUUGCCAAUAUCGAGACAUGGUCAAUAGGUCAGGCAGAUAAAAUGUGUUUUUCCUUAAAAUUUAAUUAUAUAGAGACAUAAGAUGAGCCAAAACAAAAAUAAUAGCAAUGAAAAGACUAAGUAUUGGAUUUCAUCAAGCCUAAAUGCAGCUUGGUAAGAAUGUUGAACAUCAAGGUUCUAAAUUCUGGACCACAUCAACUGAUGCAAUCACAAUGAAUAUUCUGGUUGCGGUUACUGCCACAAAAACAUUACCUCACAAUUGAGUGAGGAUCUAAAUCACAGUACCACCACAUUAGAUCACAUUGUGGCGGCAUCAGAUUGCAAUAGGGUGCAAUAGACUGAAAAACAAAUCUUGAACAUACAAUAUGGCAUAAAAGUUUUAGUCUUGCGAGGGCUGUAACUCACAUUGCAAUGGCCACCACAAUUUAAAACCACAAUGUUCAUCACUAGUCAAAAACCACAAUGUUAAUCACUAGUCAAAACCACAUCCUCCUGUGCACCUCUUGAAUAUUUAGCAAUAUACAUGCAUUUUUAGCUUUAGUUACAUGCAUAUUAACUAAAGCUGUUCACAUCUUACUAAUUUUUUAAUUAAAUGAGUUUGUGUAGAUCCCAUUUGAACAAUCAAAAUUAACAGCGAGUGAUACCUUGUGAUGAUGCACACUGUUAAGUAGAAAAGUAUAAUCACGGGCAAGCUUCGUAUUUUGUUGGACAGCCACAGCAUCAGACAAAUUACGGUUGUUACGAAAUUCCGAGGUUACAAAUUCUAAAAAAUGUCUGUUGCUACCUUCCUUCCCAUUCACAAUAUGUUUUUUGACAGCCUUGAGAAGAUCACGAUAGAUCUUAGCAGUUUGUAUGGUUUCAAUCCCCAUUUGUCUGUAUCAAUGUCUGCGCUAUCUACUUCCUGCAUAGCAUAGGACUACAUAUUUUAACAUAUAUAAAAAAAUAGAAACAUUACAAGAACAAUAGUAACAAAAUCUUCUCCAAAAAGUAGAGUAGGUCAACUACAUGAAUGAAGAGUUAUAAUAGUCUAUCCUUUACUUAUAGACAAAUCAUUUAUAUUUGAAUUCUGCUUAAUAAUUUUGUCUAUGGUUUUUUUUGGUUCCCUAACUCUAUCUAUUAGGUAGUACCCUCCAACUGAUCUAUCUCUCUUGCUCGAGAUCCUUCUAGCUGGAGCUUCUAUGGGACUGUUUGCAAGUUGAAUUUCAGAAGGAAAUAAAGGGAAAAUGAAGGCUUCAAAAUCAUCUCAAAGUAUAUUUCAUGACUCCAAAACCUUCGAUUUUCAUUUUCCCCCUCCAAAAUUCAACUCGAAAACGAACCGUAAGGUCUUCUCCACAGGUAACCAAACCAUAGCGAGAUUUUAGACUCAUCACUAGUACCUUAGGAAAUCAAACAUUAAAUAGAUUGGUCAUAUCUAAGCAAGUUUAAAGAAUUCAACUUAUUGAAAUCAAUUAAAUAGACAACUCAAAUGAAAGCAAAAAAUAAAAAAUGGUGAUAUCAAAGACUUGAAAGAAUUCUCAACACAGAAAAUCAAAAUAUAAUCUAAAAUACAACACUGAUGUAUGACGCUGGAUUUAACGCAUCACUGACAAUUAGACACCACAAAUGGUAUAUUCAACAAACACGUUGUUAACCUUACCUCAAAUGGCGACGGUGAUGGCUCCGACUCCGGCGGCGGGACGUGUGGCGUUGUGGUGGCAGGACGAUGGGAGAAGAUGAUGAGGUUGUGGAAGGAUGAAGAGUGAGAGACUUCAGACAUUGGGUUGCUACUGGUAAUGGGCUUGGGCUAAUAAAAAAUUAAUCUUAGCGUGAAAUCGAACCUGGUCGCUAUUGAACGGUCAAAAUUUGGGUAGAACCAUUGAAGUAAACCAAAUUAAAAUUUCAAUUUCAUUUAUUUCAAUUUUAUCGAUUUCAUGGUUUAAUUUUUUUUUUUUACUACUAAUGAUAUUUCUUUAUCUUUUAGUAAUGAACUAAUUUUUUAAAAUGUAUGAUUGUCUCUCCCAAUAAGUGUCACUCCUGAAAAAAUCUUUAACAUUUUGAUCAUUUUAGGAUCUAGCGAUACUGGAUCAAUGCUUUAUUGGUAUUUCAUGGUUUAGUUUGAAACCAUUUACAUCCUCAUAGAAUACUUAAUAAUGGUUUGGGUCAAAUUUUUCAGUUUAAGCUGGUGAGUCAUUGGCUCGUCGUCCAAGAUUGAUGACAAUCCAUUUUAAUGGGUGGAAAUUAUCUCUAUUACUUAAGAGGGAAGUACCUCAAAAUUAAAAGAAAAAAUAAUAUUAUCUGACAUUUUUAUUUAUUAAGUAUAAUUGUAUAAUAUUUCUAUUCCUAAAAUCAAAUGUAAAACUAAUAAUUUUUUCCUCUAAUAAUGGAGAAGAAUCUAACUAAAAAUUAGUAACAAUUAAUUUACUCUAUAUGAUAUAAUAAUGAUGGUAAUCACACUAUCCACCUUUAAAAAAAUGAGUCUACCCCUUAUGAAAGUUAGUCUAAAUUCAUCAUCCUAAAAUUUUAUCAAAUUAUUAGAAUUCACAAAAUUUUGAACUUUUAUAUUUAGGAAGAAGUGGAAGAAAAAUAUAACAAAACUCCCUCAAAUGUGACUAAAAAUAAUUAUUAGUUAAAUACAAUUUUUUAUUUAACUUUUCAAUUAAAUAUUGACAAAUGUGAUAAAAUAAUUAUUAGUUAAAUAAUAAAUAAUAUAUCAAUAUAAAUUUUAAACAAAAACCAUGAUCAAUGCAGGCACAUAUUUUAAACAUAAUGAAAUUAUAAAAUUAUGACUAAAAAUAAGAUUGUUUCUUUUUUUUUUGUGGUAUAUUUAUUCUCUCUAAAUGUUUAUUAUAAGAUUUAUUUCAUAAUUUUCUUUUCCAACUUAAUUAUUACUUAUUUCAACUAUUAUUUAAAUAUAAUUCUUAUUUAUCCUAUAGUUUUGUUUGACUAUUUACUUAGAAAUAUAUUAGAAAUCCGAGUUUUUAAUCGGCCGCCCACUUUUUUCAUUUGCUGCCCAUUGUUUUUUAUCUAUCACCCAAUGUUUUUUAUCAACCACCAAUCAUCUAAGGUUCAUAAAUAUGUAUUUUGUUUCAUCACAUAUUCACCCCAAUACCUUCACCAUCUCCUCUAUUAAAUCUCCUUAGAGUCUCUUGACUCGAGUGUCAAAUCUUCCCUAAACACUAGCCACAAUAACUUGGUCUACUAGGUCAUGCUUGAAUUGACAAAGCACCACACAAUCGUGAUUCUUAUGAUUCUAACCCAUUAUCGGUACAAGCAAUAAUGUGUAUUUUUCGGAUUCAUAAGUGUUAUUGAUUGCAAUUUGAAUUAUUCAAUCCAUACAAUUCUAACUAAGGGGAGUACAUGUUUAUCAAGAUUGGAGGUCAGUCCGAGAGUCGACAUUUGAGUUUCACCUCGACCUGAUGAUAUAUCAACUUACGCUUGUGUUAACUCAACAAGGAUACCUUGGCUUGAGAGGUAUGCCCCUGCUUGAAGAAGAUGCAAAUUCAUAUUGAUUUAGAAUGUAAAAACAAGACCCAUAUUAACCAUGAUGAAUAAGAAAGCAAAAAGGUAGAAAAAUAAUGACAUUAGGUUAUGGAAACAAUUAAAGGGGAUUAUAAAAGACAUAAAUGGAAUGAGAUAAAAGUGCUUACUUAUGCAAAACAUUGGUGUUAAGGAUUACCUUCUUAUAUUGCAAUGUAGGCAAGACAAGUAUUCUUUAACUUUGGCCAACAUCACUCUUUUAAGAUUCAUAAUGUCCAUCUCUUUCUCUCAGUUCUCUUUAUUAACAUUCUUCUUAUUUUCUUUGUCAUCGUCAAUCUUCUUGUCUUAGUUAUCAUUCUUCUUAUUUUCUUUGUCACUGUCAACCUUCUUGUCACCGUUGUUCUUUAUGAUCAAUAUCAACCUCAUAAUAUGAGAAAACUUAGUGCAAGUGAUUGUAACAAAGUCCUAAUUAUGUUGAGAGUUGAUGUUGACAAAAGAAAGAAUGACAAGAGGGAUGAUAACCAACAGAAUUGAAAUAAAGAGAUGGACAUAAUAAAUCUUAAAGGAAAAAGGUUGGACAAUAUAAAAAAUACUUGAUUUGUCCAUCUUAAAAUGGUAUAUAUGAGACAACCAAUAACACUAAUAGAUAUAAGCACUUCUAUUUUAUUUCCCUUUUUAUCUUUUGUAGUCCCUUUUAAUUUGUUUCUCCUUUAUCUAAUGACAUUAUUUUUUUUUUAUAAACUUUUCUCCAUUUUUAUUGUGUUUUUAUUCAUCUGGAUUAAUUUGUUCUCAUUUUCCAUUCUAUUUGCAUCUUCCUCCAAUAGGUUGUACCUCUUAGAUUGAGGAGUGAAUUUACUGUCUAACAAUGAAUGUCACUUCAUGUAUCAUGAACUUGUGAUGAGUUGAAAAAAAUAUAUUUAAAUUAAAAUUUAUUAUAAAAUAUUUUUCUGACCAAUCAUUACUUAUAGUAUAUAGAACAACACAAAUUAUGGGACAUAAGAUGUGAUCCCUUGAUGUUGAGUACCUCUUGGAAGUUAAGUUAACCUUACAUUGGUAUAUCAUGAGAGCUAGGUGAAACCCAAACAUCAACUCUUUAGGUUGGCCAAGUUAUCAAUUGGGCUGUGAUGUAAACCCACACUAUUCCUUAACUUCCUCUUCAUGAAUGAUGGUGUAUUUCUAUGUACCUAGACCACAUUGUCAAUUCCUUUGAAUUUGAGUAUCCAACUAUCAACUAUGAUGUGUGUCUACUUUGGUCCAGCUCAACAUCCACCAAAAAUAUUCUGCCUCAGCCACCUAGUGCCAGGCC